rnacentral:lncRNA from 1 species
GGCGACUAUCGCGCGCGCGCGUCUCCGUCGCGUCCAGCCGCUCCGUGGGCCGCGCCAGGAGGAGGGGAAGGCGACGGUGCUGCGCCUUGAAGCGGCGGGGACGGAAGUGGAAGGGGGCAGGAAGGAGAGUGGAGAGGAGGAGGCGGAGGUGGAGCAGGGGCAGCCGGACAUGGCGGCGGCGGUGGCUGCUGCCUGGAUCGGUGGGGGUGGAGUCCGGCAGAAUGUGGCCGCGAGGCGAAAUGCUUCGGUUGGCUCAGCGGCGCCGCGGCCCGCCAGCCACGGGAGCCAAGAUUCUCUGGAUUGCCGUGGGCCCUGCCUGUCGUCCCUGAUUUCUCUAUCCGGUGGAUUUUUUGAAAAGAUCCAUUACCUCGUAAGCCGUUUCAUGAAUGGUUAAGCGUCAUUCUAGUGGAUUAUAAAAAUACGGGAGAAAUUUUACCAACAUGCGUAAACUUAUACUAGAUUUUAUUUAUUGCUAUAAUUUUUUUUUAACAAAGGUCUUGUCAAAAGAAAGUUCGUGACAAAAGUCUUAUUACAAUUUUUUUUGAGAAGUCAAAAAGGUUUGCAUAAAUUUUUGGCAACACAGGUACUAUUGCAGAAUUAUUUUACGAUGAAGGUCUUGUUGCAGAAAUGUAUAGUCUUUUCAUAUCCGAUGACCGUGCGAGCCGAGUGUGACGUUCUUAAUUUAGUCGUACGUUAAUCAUACACGCAAAUACGUAUAACCAAGCUCAAGGACUCACGGAGAGAUAUCACAACACAACACUAGACACAAAUAAAACAAACAAGCUUCAUAUUACAAGCCAGGGGCCUCGGGGGCUAGAAUACAGAAGCUCGAGAAACACAAGAGUCAGCGGAAGCGACAAAUAUCUGAGUACAGACAUUAAACAUGGGGUGCCUUAGAGAAGGCUAGCAUAAAAGAUAGAACGAUCGAACGAGGCGAAGCCUCCUGCCUGGGAACCUCAAACUACUCCUGGUCUUCAGCGGCCUCCACGUAGUAGUAGGUACCGUCGGGGUAGCACGUGUCGUCAGCGGGAUACUCCAUCUCCUCGGCCCCAUCAUCUGGUCGCAGCAACAGAUCGGGGAAAAGGGGAGCAAAGCAACAGUGAGUACUCAUCCAAAGUACUCACAAGACUUAUAUCAAAACUAUGCUAAGUAUGCAUUAGUAUCAAAUGAAGGGGGUUAUGUGGACUGACCGCAUCAAUGCGAGAAUAGAGAGAUGGGACUAGUCCUAUCAAAGACUAGCAUCUUCAGGGGUCUUGCAACAACAGACGAGAUUAGAACAGGGGUAACACAAUUAAUAGUCAUAUUGUUACAACAAAAUUAAUUAAAGUCACGCCCAGAGAUCCUUCAUCGACUCCCUGCGAGGAAGCAAUCCCGGGGCAAACAUUCGAGUUAAGUAACCAUUGUAGUUUUAUAAGAUCGGGGCACAACUCCAAAUCGUCAUGUAACCGUGGACACAGUUAUUCGAAUAGUUUAUUUCUUCCCUGCAGGGGUGCACCACAGUACCCCACACGCUUGAUAAACUCUGGCUGGAACAUACUUUCCUGGGUCAUGCCCGGCCUCGGAACAUCAACACGUCGCAUCCCCACCUAAGCUCAACAAAGAGGUCGGCCCGUCGGUCUAAAUCCUAAGCACAAAGGGAUUGUGGGUCCACUUGCCCUCUGUGCUCUUGCACGAUGCGUGGGCGGCUGAGGUCAGUCCUAGCACCCCUUAUACAAGCGCGAUGCAUAUCCAGACCACUCAAGCACGCGCUGCUCCAUUACCGAUGUUUGAAGAGAUUCGGCUGAUACCACCACGACGAGUACCCAUAACUUCUCCCACGUGAAGGUUAGUGCGAAAAGGUCUCCCGACCAACUCAUAUCAAAAACUCAAAUCCAUUAGCAUUUUAAAUAAACUCGAGGAUGUGUGGCAAGGACCAGAAUGCUCAGCCACACCUUGUCACAUUCACGCGGGAAUCCACCCGUUAAACAUUGUUCAUCAAUGUUCCCAGUAGUACGAUCAAGUAACGGUGUGGUUGUAACAUCAGAGGGAUCCGAGGUAUCACCCUCGAUGGAUGCCGUAUGAUGUACACCAUAAAGGUGGCCAGGGAGGAAUCACCCUCGCUGGACCAGCUUGAAGGGUUGUACGACAGAGUCGUUGUCGGAGGUGGGGCACGAGGAAUCACCCUCCGAGAACUACUACCGGUCAACUUCACUACAAUGCUAACAUCAGGGUAUGUAACGACGUGUCACCCUCGGUACCCGAUAGUAGCCCUGCAGCGUCGUACAACUUAGGGGGUUGUAAGUGCGGUGUCGGGUCUUGGCUCAUCAAUCAGUUGAUCGAGACUGGACGAUAAAGCGGGGCAACUAGUCUAAGGGGUCAGAGGGGAUGACUGAGCCACCUAUACUAAGAAGUUUAAAGGGGUGGUACUGAAAGUAGCAGUUCAUCAAAACCAGUCUAUGCAUCAGAUAUAGGAGCUAUCUACAAUAGUAGCAAAAUUCUAGUGCAAGCAGGAGGGAGAAAGAAAUGGGCGAUAUAGGGAUGAUCAAGGGGGGUUUGCUUGCCUUGCUGCUCUGCGGCAAAGGGCUGAUCGUCAUGAGGGUAGAUGUACCCGGCAGCAACGUCAGUCUCGGGGUCUAUCAGUAAGAAGAGAGGGGAAGAAACAAUAAAUAUAAACACAAAUACAAACACUAAGCAUGACAUGUCAAAGCAGGAUUAGGCAUGAGCUAACCGCAGUGCUAUCCGUCAUAGACGGGUCGGGGAAAAUAUCAGAUGAUAUUUCCCGGAUCUCUGACUACUACCGAUCAGACGAAAAACGGAGGAAAAGUUUCACGUUUGCUAUGCUAGGGACGUGUGACAGACGAAAGAUAGCGUAUCCGAGUUCGUCUCGUUUUGUUGAUCAACUUUCAUGUUUAAAAUAUUUUCAUCUAACUUACUAUUUAUUUUAUAUUAAUUUUAAAGUUUUAUUAAAUAUUAGGAAUUAAACAUAUUAAAUAAUUUAGAUAUUUAAAUAUGACAACAUUGUAAUGUCAGCAUGACAUUAGCAGUCAACAGGGGUUUGACUGGUCAAAUAUGACUGGCCUCACAUGUCAUUGGGACAUCGAACACACACAUACACUACACGCGCACACAUGUGUAUAUACAAAUUUAUUCAUACACACAUUUUUACAUACAUAUCUAUAUACAUUCAUACAUCUGCUCACGAAAUAUCUUCAUAUACACAAGCAUACAUAAUGUGAACCUGGGUAUUUGUUUUGCCAAAAUCACGGGUAUUUACUUUGCCAAAAUCAUGGGUAUUCACCUUACCAAAAUCCUGGGUAUUCACCUGCAUGCACGUGCAUACACAUGCCGUUGCCCCAGAGGUGAGUUUGCGUACGGGGGCGGACGCCAGCGGAUGGCGCGCGCGGGGCGGAUGGGUGGGUGGGGGNNNNNNNNNNNNNNNCAGUCCAGGAGGUCUGGGGCGGCGCGGCCAGGGGCAUGGCCCGUCGGCCACGAGCGUGACGAGGGGAGGGGGACGCGAGCGGCCAGAGCGUGGUGCAGCGAGGGGAGAGGAGGGGCCGCCGGAGAGCAGGGUGGCGCGGUGGGGUGCGGCUGACGGGCGGUGGCCGGAUCUCGCCGGAGUUGGGGGGGAGGGGAGGGGCGGAGCCCCGGUGGCACACCAGGCCUGUAGGGGAUGCAGAGGCCUGGGGAGGACCGACGAGGAAGAGGCGGCCGACGGCGGACCAGUGGCCGGCGACGGAUCUGACCGGCAAGGGGAGCCGCCGGGUGAGAGGGAAUCGGGUGAGAGGGAGGAGAGAGUAGGGUGAGUGGGACGAGGCCGGCGCAAGCACGAGCGUGACGAGGGGAGGGGACGCGGCCGACCGGAGCGCGGUGCAGCGAGGGGAGAGGAGGGGCCGCUGGAGUGCGAGGUGGCUCGAUGGGGUGCGUCCGACGGACGGCGGCCGGAUCUUGCCGGAGUUUGAAGGAAAGGGAGGGGAGGGGCAGAGCCCGGGUGGCUCACCAUGCCUGUAGGGGAUGUAGAGGCCUGGGGAGGACAGGCGAGGUGAAUAUAAAAUGUUAUUUAUACACGUUUUGCAGUAUAGAUUUUAAUGCCUUCCUUUUCUCUUAAACACUGUAUAGUUGUGGUAUACAUCAGGAAUAAUUUUGUACAUGUUUAACAUUUUUAAUACAUGACUACUAGUUUAUAAAAUGUCAUGUACAUUGUUAUUGAAACAUGUUGACCAUUUCUUCUUACAAACAUUUUAUUUAAUGCUAUCAACAUAUUUUUUAACAGGGGACAAACAUUUUUCUACCUCUGUACACACAUUUGUUUUGAAAACUAGGUUUUUGUUUGUGGAAUAUUCAUAUUUUCAUUUUUUAAUAUAAACAAAAUUAUAAAAGCAAAUUUUUUUUUUGAGAAUUCUCGACUAAUUUUGUUGAUGCAUCAAAGUGCAUAUAGGUAUGAGGUUUGGGUCAUAAGGGUUCCCCAACCAAAUAUGUUGACCUAUAUCUAAGUUACGUGCAAACAUGAGAAGAUUGUGAAAUUUAAAAUUAAAGUUUCGUACGUUCCAAAACAAGAAAACAAGACUCCAUGCGAUGUUACUGGGACGGCCCACCAGGGGCGUUCGGAUGUGUGCUUCUACGACGUUCCUAUUUAGCGGAAUAUGCGCCAGGGAAACGCACACCCAUUUUAACAUUCUUAUUUUGUUUGGUGGGUUACAAUGCGUUUGCCUGUUCAUACCCUUUUGAAAAAUGUACACGGUUUAACAAAACUGGUCAUCCAUUUGUAAAAAACUGUAAAAAAUAUUUAAGAAUUUCAUAAAACUGUUCACCAAUUAAAAACAUGAUCAUGAUUUCAUAAAAUAUUCACGUGUUUUAGGAAACAUUCUUGAAUUCGAGGAUGUUGUUUGCUAAAUGAAAAAAGAAAGUAAAGUGAAAAAAACAAAAGAAAAAACGAGCAUGGAAAAAUAAAAAAGAAGGAAAAUGAAAAGCAGAAAAAACCAAACGCAAAGCACAGAAAAAACAAAAACAAAAACGGGCCUACGUGCGGAAUGGGAGCCGCCUCGAUAUAUUGUCGCUCCCGCGUGACAUAUAGAGUAUUAUUAUUAUUAUUACUGUACGUAUGUUUUAGACAACCGCGUGACAUAUAAUAUAGGGGUGGUGCGAUUGGAGGUGUGCCCGGAUCUAUCUACUGGGCUGAGCGUGUGAGUCCGAGCGAGUAUAGGUAUAAUAAGUAUAACCUCACCCGGGCGGGCGUUCGGUUAAAACCUAGACGGCGGUGGCUCCCCCCUCAACCACGACAACAAGAAGAGCAAAUCUAGGCGGCGGCGGCGAGUUUCCCUGCCUGGUUAGCCUCAAACCUCAUCUCAACCCCCUAGAUGGAGAUGGACUUCAGGGAGAUGGCGAGGGGACGCGGCAAGGAGAAGGAGGAGUAGAAGGAGAUGGAGAGGAUUUGGCUUGGGGAACUCCGGAGGAUAGAGAGAAUAUACGACAAGGAGAUGAAGACGAUUUCGGUUGGGGAAUCCAGAAUGGGGAUGGAUUGGAUUCGGAAAUUUCGGAAGCUGAAUGCAUUAUUCGGGGACACAAUAGUGGAUUCGGAAGAUAUGAAUUUGGUUCGGAAAUUCUGCAAGGUGGAGAGGAAAUACAGGGAGGAGAUGGAGAUCCGGUCGAGGAAGGACAUGGGGCGGACCACCUAUCUUGUUCCCAAUAAGAAGAGGGAGGUUCCCAAUAAGGCCUUGUUUGGUUCCAGAGGAACUAAUCCCCUAGUGGAAUUAAUCCACUAGGGGAUGAAAUUUAUCCCUGCCUGUCACCAAUCCACCGUAUAGCUCAUCCAUGUCAAACCACUUCUCUUCAAACUCAUUUGGUUCUCUCAUACUAAAAGGGGGGUUUGGUUCAGUUAUUAAUGACCCAUCAAUUUCAACAAGAAAAACAAACAUCCUAGAUAACAUAAAAACAAACAUCCUAGAUAACAUAAAAACAAACAUCCUAGAUAACAUAAAAAUUGAUGUGCACCGUAUAACAAGAUAAACAAAAAUCCUUGAUAAUCAUAUAAAAAAUGGUGUGCAACAUAGCAUUUGAAUGCAACACUAGCAUAUAUAAGCAAGAAUUUUUGUGAUAAUUCAGCACAAAUUACAUAUCAUCCUUGAUAACUUAGUACAAACUACUCCGAACUUUUGCGAUUCAUUCGAAAAAUAGAUAAACAACUCUUGUUCCUCGAUUGCGCACUUCUCGUCGGUGGGCCUACUCAUAUCCAUGUUCUUCAGCUGGCAUUUCUGGUUCAAGCAAGGCAUAACAAGGGUCAUGAACCAUGAACUCAUCAUUAAACUACAAGAUACUGAAUAUAUUUGUGCAACUACAUGAUAGUACAGGACCCAUAUAUUUGUGGAACUACAGAAUACUGAAUAUAUUUGUGCAACUACAGAAUACUACAUGACCCAUAUAUUUGCAACUACAGGAUACUACACGAUUAAUAUAUUUGUGAACUAAUAAUACGAUGACUUUAAUAGCCAGGUUCUAAAGACGGACAAUAUAUAUGUGACAUUUGCUUUCCCGCAUAUAAACAUCCGCUAGAUGGUAAAACUGUGUCUAGUGUACUAAUGGUAUGAUGGCUUCACGAAUUGAAGUGUCACUGUACAAAUGGUAUGCAGAUAACAAAACAUGUGAGGGUGUGUCAUUUAUACCACCUGGAAGAAAUAUUCAACACAAAACAAGCAAAAGCUGGCAUACACUCUAGUGUUUAUGAUUGUGAGUACAGUAAAACAAGCAUUUGCAAUAUAAGUGUAAGUGUAAGUACGAGCUGAGAUGAUUAUGAGUAUAGUAUAGUACAGUAAAACAAGCAUUUACAGCAAACACAAGCAUGUGAUGGUUAAGUGUAAGUACGGGCAUUUUACUUCUUCUUUUUUUACUCCACCCUUACAAACCUUAAGUAAAACAACAAAGUAUGAAGCUUCCACCAUAAUAUUUGCAAUCCAUGCAUACAAUCCAUGCAUGCAUUUACAGUAAAACAAGCAUGUUGAGAACCUGUCACAAUCCUUGACUUGAGUAUGUUUAAUCCUCAUUUCCUAUGCAUGCAAGACAUGUUAUUUCAGCAGUAGUGAUAUUUCAUUUAUCUGUCCAUUUUUUUAUUUAGUUGUUUAUGCAGUAGUGAUAGGUAGACAAAAACAUAGCAAAAUAUCCUAGCAGUGCAGUAGUGAUAGGCAGACCAUGUAUCUAGCAUGCAUGCCCAUGACAAAUCAAAUGUAGAUUUCUAGAUGCAAGAUAUUAUAGUAUACCUGACUCAAGCUAGUCUAGCCAAUUGCCUCCUUAACCACAUGAUGCGACUUGAUGGAUCGGCGCUGAGGAAAAUCUCUCUCUUUUGUUCAUUCAUGAAAACAUUAAAGGCAUCUACUUUUUCUUCAGUGGUUAGCUCUUCAAUUUCGUUCGCCACAGCGAUGCAUUUCUUGAUUGAAAACUCAUCUACAUCAGCCUUGGCUCUCUCCCUUGCUGCAGCUUCCUCUCCAGCUUGCUUGGUCUUCAUGGCAAUAUAGCUCUCCAUCAUCCCUGCAACAUUAGCUUUCUUGUGUUUCUUUGGCUCCUUCUCCACUCGCUUCCCAACAGUACCUUGAACCUCCAUAGGAUCUUUUCCAACCGCUUUUUUUGGUUGCUGGGUAGAGAUGCUUAUCUCAUCGUCGUCGUGCGUCAUCAUCAUCCACUCUCUCUUCAAUAUCCAGAAAUGUGCUCUCUCUCUCGAAAGGCUCAUCAACAUUAUCAACUUGAGUAAGAAUAGGAUGUUGAGAAGGUUUAGAUGACGUGAAGUUCAAAGUUCCUUCAGCUGUUUGUCCUACACAAGGAAAAUGACAUAAGAGAUCAAUUAAACAUAGUUGAGGAUAAGCAUGUUGAUUCUGAAUUUCGAUUUCUAACAUGUUGAUUACUCUAACAUGCUUCAAAGAAAAAAAAAACACUGUACUGACUACUCUAACAUGUUGAUUCUGAAUUUCGAUUUCUAAAUAGUUGAGGAUCCAACAAACAGAACCAGCAUAGUAUGACAAGAGAGCCAUUUAUUAAUUAACCACACUUUGACAAGCAAAUUAAGAAUGACUGGGUGUAGCAUAUCUCCAUCUCAUGCCCCUACCCCCUACCCAACCAAAACAAGAGGAGGGAGCAAGAACUAGCAACAUGGGGGGCACACGCAAAAUUAAGCAAACAACAUGAGGUGGGAAAUUAAGCAGGAAGGGAAGGAAGGAAUGAAGGGGGUGCUACUCAGUAUAAAUAAGUUCAGCUCACCAUCAUGUAGCUCUCCUAAAGCAUCAAACAAUGGAAAGGAAGCCCUGUUGGAGCGGAACUUCUUCGCUUUAGGAAAUGACUAAAAAGAGAAGAAAUUAAUUGGUGAAUAGCCACACAAGAAUUUAUCACAAUGAUGACAGAAGGCAUGUACAAGGACAAAAUUAACUUACAAUGAGAAUAUUUUCCCACAAUGCAGGUUCAACCACCACCAUCUUCCUUGAGUCAUCCCAUGAGAUUCCGCUUUGCAUCCUUGCUUCUUUGAGGAAGCGAUAGUCCCUUUUGAGCUCCUUUUCCUUAUUUUGUAUCUGCAGCUUUGUGAAUAAAGCAUAUGGAUGCUUCUCAUUCAUUUCUCUUGUUAUCUUGUUCCAUGCUUCAGUAGAUCAUCCAUUGUCUCCCCUAAAUGAUGGGUUGUUAUGCUCAUGAAACAACUCAACUAGAGUCUUCUCUUGUUCAAAAGUCCAUGAUGCUCUAGCUUUUGGAGAUGCCCCUUUCCUUUUUGAGGUACAACCUUUUGGAGAUGUCCCUUUCCUUUUUGUACUACAAGCUUUUGGUGACAGCUUCUUGGACGGAGCCACGAACUUCGGAGAAACUCUUCCAAACAUCAUAGCUGUUGAGCACAAUAAUGUUAGUAACAUUGUUAUCUAACUUAGUCAUGAAAAAAUUAUGUGCUAACAAUUAUGGAAAGAAACAAAGAGUUCAGAUUACUAACUCUUUCCACAUCCUCACUCCUCCCCACAUCUUCCUUGCUACUGUUGGCGAUAAAUGACAUAAUCUUCCCACAUCUUUAUUGCAAUCGUGUCUCUAUCAUUAUCUCCAUGAACUAUUUGAUUACUCAACGACUCCACAUCAUUGUGGUAUUGAUUAUCACCUCCCGGGAGAUCAACAAAAUCCCUCGCUGGUAUGUUAUUGGGCUGAUUGUCUAACCACUCCUCGUCAACUUUAUGCAUUCUAAUGAUAUUAUGAAAAACCGCAGCAGCUGCCGGUAUCUUGACUUGGUUCUCUAUGCGAUGAAAUGUACCAACUUUGAGGAUAGGAAAUCGUUUUUUUAAAACCCCCAAAGCCCUCUCUAUAUAAUUCCUUAAUAUAGCAUGACGAAGGUUGAAUAAUUCCUUGUAGUUCCUUGGUCGAUGUUGACCAUGUUGGAAAUCUUUCAAGUCAUAUCUAACUCCACGAUAUGGAGGAAGAAAUGAUGGUGUAUUUGCAUAGCCACCAUCAACAAGGAAGAAUUUUCCUUCAGGAACUUGAAACCCAUUAUUCAAAGCGGAUCUAAGGACUUUCGCAUCCGUUGCAGAUCCCUCCCAGCCACAUGAGAUGAAAGUGAAAUUUAAAUCAAAGUCGCAAGCUAACAUCACAUUGUGACUUAGUGUGCCCUUUCUAUUCCUAUAUGGAGCAGCUUUGUCUCCUCUUAUAGUAAUAGGGGUAUGGGAAUCAUCGAUUGCUCCAAUGCAAUUCUGGAAGGAAAAGGAUGAAGAAUGAUUUUGUGAUCUUGUGAGAAAAAUAACUACUUCAUAGCUAAUACCUAAUAAGGUACCUUGAAGUAGGGGAAGAAGCGUGGAUUUGUACUAAUCGUCUGAUGGGUGUGUUGAACAUUGGGAAGUUUUAGAAACCUAUAGGUGAGAGCAGGGACUAUGUUGAAAAAUGCCUUGAUAUGGCGAUGUAAUGUCUCGCCGCUGUACUUGAACUGGAGUUGUAGAUCUUCAAAUGAUGCAUUGUGUGAAAGCAUGUACAAGAAGAACCCAAGUUUUUCCUCUACCUUCACUCUUGUAUCACGCAUCAGAUUCUCUCGUCUAAGAUAGUUAGCCAAUGACUUGAAGAUCUCAGGUUCCAUACGGAAUGCUACUCGGCAAUCCAUCACGUGACCUUCAAGUAUUUCUCAUAGGCGCUCCUUGCUGGACAAUAUCGAUGUAUGCCGACGCUUUUUGGGUACACUAGGACCCAAGAGGUGCAAUGCAGGCAACAAGAAAAGCAUAAUAUCAUCAUCUUCCUCCUCCCUCAUCCUCUUUCCAUACACACUUGUCGAAUUCAUAUUACCACUAAGUAACCAUCAAAUAAAAAAAUGUAACCAACAGGAUGUCAAUUUUUCAUCAAUGUAAUGCAUAUCAUAUAUGGCAGCACACACAUAAAUCAAUGACAAAGGUAAAGGAUGGAUGCAUCAAACCUGAAUUUUUGACUUGAUUUUUUCGACGUUGUUGCUUAUCUCGCUUAUCUAGAUGAUGAACUGGUGUCUUAACUGGAUCCCACGACGGAGGUAAUUCGUCCUCUCCCACUCAACCUGCAAAGAAAGUGAUCUACAAAAAAAAUAAUAUUAGAUAACAUUUAUGCCAAAGAAACUGUACUGAAACUGCAAACAGAAAUUGGAUACUAGAAACUAAAACUGCAAACUGAAACUGCAAGGGUAAAGGUAAUUCUUCCAUGAAGCCUAUGACCCUCUCUGGAUGUAAUCCACUGAAAUAGUUCAUGGCAAACAAUCAACUAUCAAGGUGUUGUGAAAGAUUGCAUGCUGAGCAACAAACAACAAAUCAAUGCUACUGACGUCCUGGUAACAGAAAUGGGAUGUCUCGUCUCCCAAAACAUAAUUUAAAAAAAUCAGUGUGCCUGCAUCCAGAACUUAGAUAUAGUAGAAAAUCAGUGUGGCUGACACUAAUUACUAGCAGAUAUCCUGAACUUAGAUAUAGUAGAAAAUCAAUGCUACUGAUGUCUCGUCCUGGUAACAGAAAAGAGUGGCCGACACUAAUUACUAAUCCGAGCAAAUCAGUGUGCCUGCAUCCAGAACUUAGAUAUACUACAGUAGACAGACUGGCAAAGUUUGAAAAUGAAGCAAUUAGCUCCUACUAGUCACAGCUGGCCAGUACAGAGAACCAAAUUCCUAGAUGAGCGCAUAACAUGCCCCUCAACAGGCCACCAGAAUGUAAUCCUAGAUACUGUAUCUUUUAAAACUACAUGUCGCUGAUGUAAGAGGAUGCACAAGUGUAAGACCAGGAUUAUUCAUGAAACACUAGAUUCAGAGAAACAAGAUUGAUGCACUAGUUUCAGAGCUAUGCCAAAGAGCUGAAUAUAGCACCACCAGGAGAUUUGGUCACAGCUAUGCCAUCUCACUCGGUCUCUCCCUCACCUUCCCCUGUCCCAGCAAGAUUGUUUGGAUCCACCAUUCCCUCCCCAACCGCCUCCAAGAUUACUCAACACACGAAGCCAAGCCCAGAACUCACAGAAACAUCGCACAACUCUGUCUCGAACCCUAGUGGAUGUAGUGAUGGCGUCAGAGCGGAGGCGGUCGGGGCUGGCGGCGGCGGCGGACGCCGCGUCGUGGUGCUGCGGGCGGGCGGGGCUGGCAGCGGCGGCGGACCCUACUGCUUGUGUUGUCGCUCCGCGCGGACGAGGGGGAAGAGGGCAGCGGGGUAAAGAUGCAGCAGAUCGGCAAGAAAAAGGAGAGGACUUACCGGAGAGAAGGAAGCCAUCGUGGUCGCUGGAGGCACCGCGCCGCCGCACGUUGUCGUUGCCGGAGACAACGCGUUGCCGCCGUCAAUUUCGCCUCAUCAACCCUAGCUUCCGUGCGCUGUCUCGUGUGGAUUUAGUUCCACACCUCCGAGACGAUUCUUCUGGAGCCCGUGGAACAUAGCAGACAUACGUGGUUUGGGCCGGUAUCUUCCCCAUCGUGGCCCAGACCAAACAACAAAAUAAAACCCACGUGGAACAGUUCCCGGCCUGAAACAACCCACGUGGAUUGGGCCAAGAUCCCAGGCAAACCACGUGGUUUACCUGCUAACCAAACGAGGCCUUAGGUGGAGUCUAAACCAAGAUAGCUCAAUGAAGAAAUCAUGGGUUGAAAAUAUCUCAUGAUCAAAGAAUUGGUGGAUUUAAUUAUCUCAUAGUUGAAAGAAAAUCUCUUCGAGACUCCUACACUAACAAGAAAGCUAUAAUACCACCUCAAAGGACAAGGAAGAACAAAUGGACUUGGAAAUGCAAGAGAAGAAAACUUUAGGUUCUCCAGUAAGAAUCUAGAAGAACACUUUAGAAUGAAUGACAUCUUGACGAACCACCAAGAAGGACCUCCGUAUACAAAUGAAUGAUGCAAAGAUAUGAAGGUAGAAAAGAAUAAGAUUAUGACCUUGCCAAAAUUUAGAUGAAGGUUCACGAAGAGAUACUAGAGAAAACUUGGAACUCCGGAAAAGAAAAGAUAAGAAAACUUGAGAAAAAGGAAUUGAUACCGUGAGGCACUAUGGAAGAAAGAUUGAAAUCACUAUGAAACAGGAAUAAGAAUUAUGUUAUGCUUAUCCUUCAUCAAGUUUAAUUGAUUACAAUCAAUGGAUUUAGCGUAGCACUUCUUCUUCUAGAAAUGAUUGAGGAGAGAGAUAAGCAUCACUUGAGGAAUGAUUGAAGGACGCACCGGUAAGAAUUCACAACUGAAUGGGAACACCACGAAUUAAUGGAGAAACAUGAGAAUGAAGAGAUCAAGAGCCACCUGAGAGAAAACUUGAACAAGGCACCGUAUAAUCGAGAGAUGAACGAAGAGACAACAAUGGAGAAGAAUUGAGGAUGAAAGCUGAAAGUUGAGAACGAAGAAUCUUCUAAAAUGAUGGCCUUCGGAGGAUCGAGAAUGAAAACAACUCAGAGAAGCACCGGAUAGCAAGAAAGGGAUACACAUGAUUGAAAACAAUUAAGAAGAUGUCAUAAAGCUGAAAUGAUGAAUCUACAAAAGAAUGACAAGAUUGAGAGAAAUACCCCUUCGAAUUGCAAGCUGAGAAUGAUGACGAGAACAACACCAAGAAUUACUGAGACACUCCGGAAUAAUGAAGAAUGAAAGGUUGAGCCAAAGAAUGAAUUAAUUCAAAUAGAUCUUGAAGAAGUAAUAUGACUGAUGGAAAUCAUACUUACGUCAUAGUUGAAAAGAAUUAAUGAUCUCCGGGAAAAGAUUAAAAGAGCCAGGAAAGAUCCUGGGAAAACCUAUGGGUUAUGGGCCCACUCAAAGAAACCACCGUUGAAAGGAUUGCUUAGAAGAGAGAUAUUGCACCAGUAUGAAAACCUGAUGAGGUUUAGCGCCUCGAAAUAAUGAAAGAUCUGCAACAAGAAACUCUGAGAUUUCUUCAACACACCGGAUAGAAAAGAGAGGAAUGAAUAAACAAGAUAGGUUGACAAGAAUUCCCAACAUAGGAAAGAAUUAACAAGGAUGAAAAGGAUAUGAUGAACACGGACAACUGAAUUAAAUUCACCGAAAAAAGAUAACCAGAUUGAAGGAAUGAUGCACUAGAACUCCUGAGAAUCGUCACAAUGAAUCACCGAGUAAGAGAGAAAAGAACAGACAGCGGAAGCACAAUGAAAAGAAAACUCUUGGAUGAAAAUUGAAUCACUGAAGAAAAGGGCGGGAGGGCGGGAAAAACAAAGACAACUUGAGACAGAUGAGACAAAUUCUGGAAAGAAAAGAGAGACCGAUCUGCACAAUUGGAGAAGAUUGAAUUCACUUGAAGAGAAGCACACCGGUUGAAUGGAAUUGAUACGAUGACUCUAGUUGAAAAGGAAAUGACAUGACAACUCCGGUUGACAAGAAUUGAUAAGAUGAUCUGAUUGAGCAAAGAAUUCGCAUUCACAUAAAAAUAUGAGAACACAGAUUAGGAAAGAUCUGAAAUCAUCACUUGACAUUGAAGCAACUUGAAUUACCGUAUUGAACAAAACAAUGGGAGAGGCUUAUGAAACAAGCCAGAACAAACUCAUGAGAAAGAUUUCGUCCGAUAUUUUCGUGGACAGGAUCGCACGGGCUCGAACCUUACAGUAGCCAUCAAGUGCAAGGCAGUGCACCCGACAUACGAAGCGUCCCCGAGUCGUAGCAAGCUACAAGGACUCUUUAAGACACAACGAGAACCGUUGUAAGUUGACCAUCAACAAACAAAUCCACUAGAUGUCGAACCCCAACCUAACAUCAUGCAUUUGUUGGAAGAUUGUCCUAUAAGCAACUACUUGAAUUCCCACCUAAGAAUUCCCGAAAUUAUCUGGUCAUGCAAUCUGGUACACGGAUACAAGGAGUAAUAAUCACACAACUCCUAUACUAACCCGUCACCUGUAUCACAUUCGUCAACACACAACCAGAAUCUCGGACCUUCAUCUACAACAGACCCUCGUGAUCACAACGAUACAAAGUAUAGCAGUACUCCCGAACAAUCUGCACCAGUACUGGGGACAUCGGGGUUAUCUCGCCACUACUAGUAUUGAAGCAAUUAUGAACAUCCUUCGUUCUGAGAUACUAAGAAAUCUGAAUGAUAACGAUGUGCUCGAGAAUCCCCUGGAGCUCAACUCCCCGGAAGAAAAUCAAGUCAGACAGGAGGCACCAAGACAGAACUACGUCACAUCGGCAUCAUAUAGAUUCCAAGAAUAUCUGCGUGAUCGUAAAAAAAAUUUGAGUGAGAAGAGGAGUAGAAUAAAUUAUUACGUCAAGAUUCCUCACCAGAGCAUAGAAGAGGAGAAAAAAGAAUCCUACUCUCCGAUAUAUAACUAGACUCAAAGUAGUUUUUCACUAGACUCGACUCGGCCAAGUUCGAUCAAUCAAGGGGGCUCCUAGGUCGGUACUGCUCUGAUACCAACUUGUCACGCCCAAGAUGCGACCCUAUCCUCAAUUUGGCACGAGGGCCUCGUCAGGAUAGUAGCGCAUCUCGUCGUGUCGCAAGAAUGGAUAUCGUUACAAGUACAUGUACUGAAAAGAAGAUAUAUAUAUAUAUAGAAUUGGCUUACACUCGCCACAAGCUACAUCAGAGUCACAUCAGUACAUUACAUAAUCAUCAUGAAAAAGAGCAGGGUCCGACUAUGGACGAAAACAAACGAGAAAAGAAGAACGAUGUCCAUCCUUGCUAUCCCAGGCUGCCGGCCUGGAACCCAUCCUAGAUCGAUGAAGAAGAAGAAGCAACUCCAAAUGAACAAUCAACUCGCUCGCGUCAAGUAAUCUUUACCUGUACCUACAACUGGUGUUGUAGUAAUCUGUGAGCCACAGGGGACUCAGCAAUCUCAUUUCCAAAGGUAUCAAGACUAGCAAAGCUUAAUGGAUGAGGUAUGGUUAAGUGGUGAGGUUGCAGCAGCGGCUAAGCAUAUAUAUCUGGUGGCUAAACUUACGAGUACAAGAAAUAAGAGGGGGAAGAUCUACGCAUAGCGGACGUGAACUACUGUUGAUCAAAGGAAUGAUCGUGAACACCUACUUACGCCAGACAUAACCCCACCGUGUCCUCGAUCAGAGAAGGAACUCACGAAAGAGACAGUCACGGUUACGCACACAGUUGGCAAGUUUUAAUUAAAUUAACUUCAAGUUAUCUAGAACCAGUGUUAAGCAAAGUUUCCACAUUGCCACAUAACCGCGGGCACGGCUUUCCGAAAAGAUUUAACCCUGCAGGGGUGCUCCAACUAGUCCAUCACAAAUUACCACAAGCCGCAUAGAAAUCCUCAAUCACGAAGCUCGCGAUCUCGUCGGAUUCCCUAGUGGAAAACCUCAACUCUGAGAUUACCCAAAGCAUCAUCGGAAUCCCGAUGCACAAGAUAUUCCGUCAAAGGUAAAACUAAUCCAGCAAGGCCGACCAACGUGUCGACGACCCCGAUAGGAGCCACGUAUCUCGUUCUCAGGACACGAUGGAUGGAAAAGCCUACAGGUACCAAAUCUUGAGUUGCCCCGUGGUGGCCCCGCAGUCUGUCCAUUUUGGACCAACACUCAUGAGGAGCACUGGCUCGGGGGUUGAUUAAAUUUCCUCGGGUUAAUUACUGCCUAUGCAGUUCAUUAGUUAUUAGGCAAUUGUAGUACCAAAGUUGGGCCUUGCCAGACCAGCUUUAAUCUAAAACGAAUUAUCAAUGGGGUCCCCAUAACAACCCCGAUCGUGUUAGGAGCGCUCAUUUAUGGAACAUAACACCGGUAGCCGAAACUAAGGGGGCAAAGGUGGAACAAAACACCAGGCUAGAAAGGCCCAGCCUUCCACCUUUUACCAAGUAUAUAGGUGCAUUAAAUUAAAUAGCAUUUAAUAUGGUGAUAUGACAAGGAACCCAUGUUAUCACAUGGAAGCAACUGCACCUGCAACUAGCAACACUAACACAUGGUUAAGCAAGCGGUAACAUAGCCAAACGUGGUUUGCUAGGUCGAACAGGUUGAAGGUUAUCAUGGCAUUGAUGAGAGGCUGAUAUUUAACAUGUAGAAGGCAACGAGACAUAAUCGAUAGAAGCGAUAAAACUAGCAUGGCAAUGAUAGUAAUGGUAUCUGGGGAAAUGGUCAUCUUGCCUGAGAUCUCGCUUGGAAGAAGAACAACUCCGAGAAGUCGGCGAACCAACGUAGUCGAACGGGUCCUCACAUUCCGACACGCUUGCGGAACUCUAUCGAGACGGAGCAAACCAGAAAUAAACAUCAACACAGAUAUUCACCACAUGAUGCACAACCUACUAUGAUGCAUGAUCAGUUCAAAAUGCAGGGGAUGGCAUGGCAAUUCACCUCACGCAAACACUACACAUUAAGUGAAGCUCGAUAUGCAACGAGUUGCAUAUCGACGAAACUCCAUGAUUAAUUAUUUAAUUCACUCCCGAUUAUUUACACGACAAUAUUAAAUGUUGUUUAACAUGGCAAGGGGUGAAGCGGUGAUCCUACAUGACAUCCUAGUCGGGUAACGCGCGGAGCAUAGAUCGGAGCUACGACACAAGGAACAUGCAACACAAGAUAAUUAUGCCAUGAAUGCGUCAUGCAUGCAAGUUACAACACCACGGGCAAGAAAAGAAAGAAACAUGUGUCGCCAUGGCGAGCGAGAGGGAACCAUGGCGGCAAGACGAAAACGAAGCCACGACAACGUUCCUAUCCCGAUAACUCGUCGAGAUAACGUGCCAACGUAUAGGGAGCGUGUGCGGGAACGGUAAAUAAAGAUGGGGUGAUCCCGUUACCCGGUUCCCAUCUGUCGAGGGCGCGACGGAAGAGAGACAACGUGCAACGGGCAAACAUACGGCGCAAACAUACAUACAACUCAUACAACAUAUGCGUUCGUACACGACAUGUCUCAUCGGUAUACCUUUGAAGUGCGCAUAUCGGAGGGGAACGGUUCGAAGCGGUGAGCGAACAAAGAUCGUCGUGGUCAUCGUGGAAGUAGUUGUACACGGUCUCGUCGACGGUUGUCGUUCGCUUGGCGUCGGUUCGUGGGUCUUCGGCAUCGGUAGUCGAACACGUUCCGGGGGUCGUCGAGGACGUAGUUGUACACGCGAUCUUGUCGAUGACUCACGGUGGCGGGGAUGGUGCACACGGCGACGGCAGGCGACAGCACAAGCAAGCAACUCACAACAAGCGGGCGCAGUAGGCAGGCAAGCAACAACAACUAACACUAGCUAUAGCAACUAGCUACCUACAACAAGAGCAACAACAACUAAGCAUCUGCCAGCAACAUCACUAAGCUACUACAACAACAACUAGCAUCUGGCAGCAGCAAGCACAACAUGCAAAAUGCAAGCAAGAGCAAGCUAGCAUGCAGCUUAGCAACGCAUCAGGCAGCAAAACGGCAAGCACAACAACUGCUUGCGCCGAUUCAGACUUGCUGCAGCAACUAGCCUAUCCAUCACGGCGCACAGCAACAACAUAGCAACGGCAGCUCGGCAGGGGAACGCGGGGGACAGCAACACGCCAGGCAGCAACAUCGCAAGCAGCGGCAAGGACGGGGGCGCACGGGACCAAGGCGGUUCGGCGACGACAACCGGAGGAGGAGGCCGGUCCCUAGAGGGGCGGCUUGGCAGGGAACACGAGGAGACUCGGGGAGGCGUCCACGGUGGGGCGGCGCGGGGGCCACGGCGGCGAGCUCGGCGGGGCGGCGCACUGCCAGCAGCAGCAACUCGACUCCAUGGGGAGGUCGGGCACGUGGCAGGUGAGCAGCGCGGCACCACACAAACGAGGAGGAGGAGGUCGGGGCGAGGGCGAACGACGGCGAGGCUGGGGCAGCUCGGGCACAGUGGCACGGCGACCUGGGAACUGCAGGUGGGCGCGGCGAGCCGCUGGUGGCGCGGGGAGGCGAUGAGGUCGGGGCGAGGCAAGGCUAGGGCGGCUCGGCGAGCAGCUGCAGUAGAGGGCUCGGGCACCUCGGGGAAGAGGGAUCGGGGUAGGAGACACAGAGGGGAACGAGAGGAGGGAGAGAACGGUGCGAGGGGGAAGGAGACGCUGGGGGAGCGUCGCUAGGGCAGGGGGGAGCUGUUGGGCCUUGGGCCGGCUUACCUGGGGACGGGCUCCUCCUCUCUUUCCUUUAUUUUGGUUUCCCCCCGCCCUUUUAAAAACAGAAAACUCAAACAAAAUGAAAAAGGUUUUUAACAAAAUAGAAAAAACAUGCUUUUGGCUCCUUUGAAAAAAAUAUACCCCAACUAUAAAAUAGCUUGGGCAUUUUUAAAACGAAUAAAAAUAAAACCUUUUGAAGAAUUACAAUUAAAACCCUUUUAACAAGAGAAUAAAAUAAAACCCCUUUUGUUUAAAGAAUAAAAUAAAAGCUCUUUAAAGAAGAGAAGAAAAUGAGACUGUUUUAGAAAAUAAACAAAAGGAAAAAAAAAUAAAGGAAACCCAAGGGGUUGCCCCCACAUUUAAUAAAAGGAUUUUUAAAAGAAGACGAAUUUAUUUUGAAGGUGUUAAAACUGAAAUCUUUAGCAAAACCACAAAAAGGAAAUAAGAGGGGAGAGAGGGUUUGGGACCACGGUGUAAUAGGGUUUUGAGGUGGCUCUCACGCACCCACUCUCAUCACUCCAACAAAACAACGCCACUCACAAAGCACUAACACCCAACAACACGGAGCAACAAGCAACACCGACAAAACAUAGUUGACAUGAUGCCAUGCAGGAUGCGACGAUGCAAACUAAAUGAUGAUGCAACAAAAUAAAAUAACCACGUGACGGAAACGGAAAUAAAGGGGGAAUCUUCUGGAACGUCGGUCUCGGGCUGUCACAGUUCCGUCUCAUGACAUGUGCCGUCACUUUCAUAUUGCCAUUGCAUGAUCGUAAGAUAGCUAGGGAGAUGUUUUAACGUCAUACGCUAAGCUAGAUCGUUGCACAUCUUGGUAUACUGCCGGAGGCAUUUCCUAUAAGAGUCAUCAUUGUUCUAAGCAUUGAGCUGUGAGUAAAUAAAAGUGUGAUGAUCAUCAUUAUUAGAGCAUUGUCCCAUGUGAGGAAAUAAAAAAAAGAGGCCAAAGAUGCCCACAAAAAAAAUAUGGAAAGAGGCCAAAGAGCCCAAACAAAAACAAAAAAAAGAGAGCGGCAAAAGAGAGAAGGGACAAUGCUACUAUCUUUUUCCACACUUGUGCUUCACAAUAGCACCAUGUUCUUCAUGAUUGAGAGUCUCUUGUUUUUUCGCCACCAUAUACUAGUGGGAACCUUCAUUAUAUAACUUGGCUUGUAUAUUCCAAUGAUGGGCUUCCUCAAAAUUGCCCUAGGUCUUCGUGAGCAAGCAAGUUGGAUGCACACCCACUAAUUCUCCUUUUGAGCUUUCACACACUUAUAGCUCUAAGUGCAUCCGUUGCAUGGUAAUCCCUACUCAUUCACAUUGAUAUCUAUUGAUGGGCAUCUCCAUAGCCCUUUGAUACGCCGAGUCGAUGUGACCAUCUCCUCCUUUUUGCCUCACAACCUCCACCACACUCUAUUUCACCUAUAGUGCUAUAUCCAUGGCUCACGCUCAUACAUUGCGUGAGAGUUGAAAAAGGUUUGAGAAAGUAAGAGUGUGAAAACAAUUACUUGGCCAAUACCGGGGUUGUGCAUGAUUUCAAUUCGUUGUGUGGGGAUGAUGGAGCAUAGCCAGACUAUAUGAUUUUGUAGGGAUAACUUUCUUUGGCCUUGUUAUUUCGAAUGUUCAUGAUUACCUUGCUAGUUUGCUUGAAGUAUUAUUGUUUUCAUGUCAAUAGCAAACUAUUGUUUUGAAUCUUACGGAUCUGAACAUUCAUGUCACAUGAAAGAAGUUGCAAAGGACAAAUAUGUUAGGUAGCAUUCCACAUCAAAAAUUCAGUCUUUAUCACUUCCCUACUCGAGGACGAGCAUGAGUUAAGCUUGGGGAUGCUUGAUACGUCUCCAACGUAUCUAUAAUUUUUGAUGGUUCCAUGCUAUUAUCUAGUCAACUUUGGAUGCUUUGUAUGCAUUUUAUAUCUUUUUUGGGACUAACCUAUUAACUCAGUGCCAAGUGCCAGUUCCUGUUUUUUCCGUGUUUUUGACCUUUUUUAGAGGAGAAUAUUAAACGAAGUCCAAACGGAAUAAAAACCUCCGAAAAGAUUUUUUCCGUAACAGAAGAUACGCACGGAGCUUGAGAACCAAGGCAAAGGGCACCAGGGGAGGCCACAAGCCCCCUAGCCGCGGCCUGGGGGCCGCGCCUAGCAGGCUUGUGGGACCCCCGUGGCUCCUUUUCCCUACUUCUUCCGCCUAUAAAUCCCCGGGAAAUCUGAAACCACGGAGGAGAGCCACGAAAAUACUUUUCUGCCGCCGCAAGCUUCUGCCGCCGCAAGAUCCCAUCUGGGGACCGUUCUGGUGCUCUGCCGGAGGGGGGAUUCGGACACGGAGGGCUUCUUCAUCAACAUCAUUGCCUCUAUGAUGAUGCGUGUGUAGUUCACCACAGACCUUUGGGUCCAUAGCUAGUAGUUAGAUGGCUUCCUCUCUCUCUUGGAUCUUGAAUACAAAGUUCUCCAUGAUCUUCAUGCAGAUCUAUCCGAUGUAAUCUUCUUUGCGGUGUGUUUGUCGAGAUCCGAUGAAUUGUGGAUUUAUGAUCAGAUUAUCUAUGAAUCUUAUUUGAGUUUCCUCUGAUCUCUUAUAUGCAUGAUUUCAUAUACUUGUAAUUCUCUUCGAGUUGUGGGUUUCGUUUGGCCAACUUGAUCUAUAAUUCUUGCAAUGGGAGAAGUGCUUGGUUUUGGGUUCAUAACGUGCGGUGACCUCACCCAGUGACAGAAGGGGUAGCGAGGCACGCAUCGUGUUGUUGCCAUCAAGGGUAAAAAGAUGGGGUUUAUAUCUAUUGCAUGAAUUUAUCCCUCUACCUCAUGUCAUCUUGCUUAAGGCGUUACUCUAUUUGUUAUGAACUCAAUACACUAGAUGCAUGCUGGAUAACGGUCGAUGUGUGGAGUAAUAGUAGUAGAUGCAGAAAGUAUCGGUCUACUUGUCUCGGACGUGAUGCCUAUAUGUAUGAUCAUUGCCUUAGACAUCGUCAUGAAUUUGCGCGGUUCGAUCAAUUGCUCGACAGUAAUUCAUGCACCCACCCACUACUGAAAUUCAGAAAUUUGCCGUCUGCCAAAGCGGACGGCAAAGGGUGCAACCACGGACGGCAAAGGCUUUGCCGUCGGUCAACAGACGGCAAAGUAGACGGUAAAAAAAAAAUCUGGUGAAGAGGUUCUUUGCCGUCAGCUUUCCCAAAGCGGACGGCAAAGAAUCUUUGCCAUGAGGGGGCAGACGGCAAAUUAACUGGGACGGCAAAGGGUGCAACGUCCCCGUUAAGUGUUAACGGCAGGCCUCCUCCCUUUGUCGUCUGCCUCCCCUCCUUUGCCAUGUGGGCAGACGGCAAAGAGGGGAGAGAGAGGGGGCAGAUUCCCCCCUUUGACGUCUGCCUCCACCCCUUUGCCAUGUGGGGGCAGGCGGCAAAGAGGGGAGAGAGAGGGGGCAGAUUCCCCCCUUUGACGUCUGCCUCCACCCCUUUGCCAUGUGGGGGCAGGCGGCAAAGAGGGGAGAGAGAGGGGGCAGAUNNNNNNNNNNNNNNNNNNNNNNNNNNNNNNNNNNNNNNNNNNNNNNNNNNNNNNNNNNNNNNNNNNNNNNNNNNNNNNNNNNNNNNNNNNNNNNNNNNNNNNNNNNNNNNNNNNNNNNNNNNNNNNNNNNNNNNNNNNNNNNNNNNNNNNNNNNNNNNNNNNNNNNNNNNNNNNNNNNNNNNNNNNNNNNNNNNNNNNNNNNNNNNNNNNNNNNNNNNNNNNNNNNNNNNNNNNNNNNNNNNNNNNNNNNNNNNNNNNNNNNNNNNNNNNNNNNNNNNNNNNNNNNNNNNNNNNNNNNNNNNNNNNNNNNNNNNNNNNNNNNNNNNNNNNNNNNNNNNNNNNNNNNNNNNNNNNNNNNNNNNNNNNNNNNNNNNNNNNNNNNNNNNNNNNNNNNNNNNNNNNNNNNNNNNNNNNNNNNNNNNNNNNNNNNNNNNNNNNNNNNNNNNNNNNNNNNNNNNNNNNNNNNNNNNNNNNNNNNNNNNNNNNNNNNNNNNNNNNNNNNNNNNNNNNNNNNNNNNNNNNNNNNNNNNNNNNNNNNNNNNNNNNNNNNNNNNNNNNNNNNNNNNNNNNNNNNNNNNNNNNNNNNNNNNNNNNNNNNNNNNNNNNNNNNNNNNNNNNNNNNNNNNNNNNNNNNNNNNNNNNNNNNNNNNNNNNNNNNNNNNNNNNNNNNNNNNNNNNNNNNNNNNNNNNNNNNNNNNNNNNNNNNNNNNNNNNNNNNNNNNNNNNNNNNNNNNNNNNNNNNNNNNNNNNNNNNNNNNNNNNNNNNNNNNNNNNNNNNNNNNNNNNNNNNNNNNNNNNNNNNNNNNNNNNNNNNNNNNNNNNNNNNNNNNNNNNNNNNNNNNNNNNNNNNNNNNNNNNNNNNNNNNNNNNNNNNNNNNNNNNNNNNNNNNNNNNNNNNNNNNNNNNNNNNNNNNNNNNNNNNNNNNNNNNNNNNNNNNNNNNNNNNNNNNNNNNNNNNNNNNNNNNNNNNNNNNNNNNNNNNNNNNNNNNNNNNNNNNNNNNNNNNNNNNNNNNNNNNNNNNNNNNNNNNNNNNNNNNNNNNNNNNNNNNNNNNNNNNNNNNNNNNNNNNNNNNNNNNNNNNNNNNNNNNNNNNNNNNNNNNNNNNNNNNNNNNNNNNNNNNNNNNNNNNNNNNNNNNNNNNNNNNNNNNNNNNNNNNNNNNNNNNNNNNNNNNNNNNNNNNNNNNNNNNNNNNNNNNNNNNNNNNNNNNNNNNNNNNNNNNNNNNNNNNNNNNNNNNNNNNNNNNNNNNNNNNNNNNNNNNNNNNNNNNNNNNNNNNNNNNNNNNNNNNNNNNNNNNNNNNNNNNNNNNNNNNNNNNNNNNNNNNNNNNNNNNNNNNNNNNNNNNNNNNNNNNNNNNNNNNNNNNNNNNNNNNNNNNNNNNNNNNNNNNNNNNNNNNNNNNNNNNNNNNNNNNNNNNNNNNNNNNNNNNNNNNNNNNNNNNNNNNNNNNNNNNNNNNNNNNNNNNNNNNNNNNNNNNNNNNNNNNNNNNNNNNNNNNNNNNNNNNNNNNNNNNNNNNNNNNNNNNNNNNNNNNNNNNNNNNNNNNNNNNNNNNNNNNNNNNNNNNNNNNNNNNNNNNNNNNNNNNNNNNNNNNNNNNNNNNNNNNNNNNNNNNNNNNNNNNNNNNNNNNNNNNNNNNNNNNNNNNNNNNNNNNNNNNNNNNNNNNNNNNNNNNNNNNNNNNNNNNNNNNNNNNNNNNNNNNNNNNNNNNNNNNNNNNNNNNNNNNNNNNNNNNNNNNNNNNNNAAGUUUCAUAUAUUACACCAGUUUCAUCCACGUGCAUACAAAGUUUCAUAUAUUCAUAUACUACAAUAGUUUCAAUACAACCCAUGGUACAAGAAAUCAUCUUCAAGCAUUCCAUCAAUAUUUUCCAAGCUUCCCGUGAAGUGAAGGUAAUCUGCAAAAUGACAAAUAAGAAAGUUAGAAGAAUAAUACUAGAUGAAGUAGUGUAUAUAUAGGUUAUUUCGGAGAGAAAUUAGCUAAGUAUAGACCAUUUAGGAGCUAACUAAGCUAAUUAUGUCAUUUAGGUGGAACCCUAGCUAACUAUAGGUCGUUUCGGAGCUAACUUGGGUAAAAUAGGUCAUUCCGGAGCAAACUAUGCUUAUUAAGCCAUUUUUGAUCUAGCUAGGCUAAUUAUAGGCCAUUUAAUACCUAAGUUAGGGGGAAUAGGUCAUGUUGCAGCUACGUAAGCCUUAUUAUGUCAUUUAGGAGAGAACUUAGCUAAGUAUAGGUCAUUUUUUAUUAAAUAGACCAUUUAGGAGCUAACUAAGCUAAUUAUGUCAUUUAGAUGGAUAAUUAGCCAAUUUAGGCUUUGUUGGAUGAGUCUAAGCUACGUAGAAUAAGAGAAAGAGAAGAAGAAGUAAAAGNNNNNNNNNNNNNNNNNNNNNNNNNNNNNNNNNNNNNNNNNNNNNNNNNNNNNNNNNNNNNNNNNNNNNNNNNNNNNNNNNNNNNNNNNNNNNNNNNNNNNNNNNNNNNNNNNNNNNNNNNNNNNNNNNNNNNNNNNNNNNNNNNNNNNNNNNNNNNNNNNNNNNNNNNNNNNNNNNNNNNNNNNNNNNNNNNNNNNNNNNNNNNNNNNNNNNNNNNNNNNNNNNNNNNNNNNNNNNNNNNNNNNNNNNNNNNNNNNNNNNNNNNNNNNNNNNNNNNNNNNNNNNNNNNNNNNNNNNNNNNNNNNNNNNNNNNNNNNNNNNNNNNNNNNNNNNNNNNNNNNNNNNNNNNNNNNNNNNNNNNNNNNNNNNNNNNNNNNNNNNNNNNNNNNNNNNNNNNNNNNNNNNNNNNNNNNNNNNNNNNNNNNNNNNNNNNNNNNNNNNNNNNNNNNNNNNNNNNNNNNNNNNNNNNNNNNNNNNNNNNNNNNNNNNNNNNNNNNNNNNNNNNNNNNNNNNNNNNNNNNNNNNNNNNNNNNNNNNNNNNNNNNNNNNNNNNNNNNNNNNNNNNNNNNNNNNNNNNNNNNNNNNNNNNNNNNNNNNNNNNNNNNNNNNNNNNNNNNNNNNNNNNNNNNNNNNNNNNNNNNNNNNNNNNNNNNNNNNNNNNNNNNNNNNNNNNNNNNNNNNNNNNNNNNNNNNNNNNNNNNNNNNNNNNNNNNNNNNNNNNNNNNNNNNNNNNNNNNNNNNNNNNNNNNNNNNNNNNNNNNNNNNNNNNNNNNNNNNNNNNNNNNNNNNNNNNNNNNNNNNNNNNNNNNNNNNNNNNNNNNNNNNNNNNNNNNNNNNNNNNNNNNNNNNNNNNNNNNNNNNNNNNNNNNNNNNNNNNNNNNNNNNNNNNNNNNNNNNNNNNNNNNNNNNNNNNNNNNNNNNNNNNNNNNNNNNNNNNNNNNNNNNNNNNNNNNNNNNNNNNNNNNNNNNNNNNNNNNNNNNNNNNNNNNNNNNNNNNNNNNNNNNNNNNNNNNNNNNNNNNNNNNNNNNNNNNNNNNNNNNNNNNNNNNNNNNNNNNNNNNNNNNNNNNNNNNNNNNNNNNNNNNNNNNNNNNNNNNNNNNNNNNNNNNNNNNNNNNNNNNNNNNNNNNNNNNNNNNNNNNNNNNNNNNNNNNNNNNNNNNNNNNNNNNNNNNNNNNNNNNNNNNNNNNNNNNNNNNNNNNNNNNNNNNNNNNNNNNNNNNNNNNNNNNNNNNNNNNNNNNNNNNNNNNNNNNNNNNNNNNNNNNNNNNNNNNNNNNNNNNNNNNNNNNNNNNNNNNNNNNNNNNNNNNNNNNNNNNNNNNNNNNNNNNNNNNNNNNNNNNNNNNNNNNNNNNNNNNNNNNNNNNNNNNNNNNNNNNNNNNNNNNNNNNNNNNNNNNNNNNNNNNNNNNNNNNNNNNNNNNNNNNNNNNNNNNNNNNNNNNNNNNNNNNNNNNNNNNNNNNNNNNNNNNNNNNNNNNNNNNNNNNNNNNNNNNNNNNNNNNNNNNNNNNNNNNNNNNNNNNNNNNNNNNNNNNNNNNNNNNNNNNNNNNNNNNNNNNNNNNNNNNNNNNNNNNNNNNNNNNNNNNNNNNNNNNNNNNNNNNNNNNNNNNNNNNNNNNNNNNNNNNNNNNNNNUUCUUCGGGCUAAAUUGGCUAAGAAUGCCUUUUUGGAGCUAAUUAUGUCAUUUCGAGGAUAAUUAGCUAAGUAUAGGUCAUUUUUUAUUAAAUAGACCAUUUAGGAGCUAACUAAGCUAAUUAUGUCAUUUAGAUGGAUAAUUAGCCAAUUUAGGCUUUGUUGGAUGAGUCUAAGCUACGUAGAAUAAGAGAAAGAGAAGAAGAAGUAAAAGGAGGAGGAGAAGGAGCUAACUAAACUAACUAAGCUAACUAUGUCAUCUAGCUAUCUUUUAUUAAAUAGGUCUUUUUGGAGCUAACUAAGCUAAUUAUGUCAUCUAGCUAUCUUUUAUUAAAACACUAGAAAUAACAUACCUAAGUUAGGGUCAAGCACGGUGGCUCUGGCUUGUUUCACCUGGAGAAGGCUGCCCUGGAGAAGGCUCGAUUGUAGAAGGGUCGUGCGAUGCGUUUCGGGACAUAUUCUGCACCAAACAUCGUUUGCAAUGUGUAGUUAGCAUGAGGACACUCUUAAGAUCACUCCACUGAAAUGAAACUCACUGUCAAUGUUGUGUGGGGAAAGGAGGUCUUUGAAGUAAGGGAGAUCCCAUAAGCAUGACUUGUGAGUCCAGGCGUGUUCCGUAUUAUACCCUUUGAAGUAUCCUGGACGCAAAGGAUCAGGCUCGAGAGCGUUUAACUGAUCAAGGGUCUGUUGGCCUGUCAACGCAGCUGGUGUAGUGUUUUUGACAACUCUACCUUUGAUGAAAUUCUUCUUGUCUUUUCUGAACUUAUGGUCAGGAUCCAGGAAUUGUCUAUGCAUGUCGAAGCAAGAAUACUUGCGACCAGCCUGCAGCCAACGGAACUGAAGAGUUGCCUUGCAUGUGGUGCACGGGAACCUUCCAUGCACACACCAGCCAGCGAAUAGCGCAAACACCGGAUAAUCAUGCGUCGAGUACAUGUACCACACAUGCAUUUUGAAAUUUGUUUUGGUAGCCGCGUCGUAGGUCUUGAUCCCAUUAUCCCAGGCUUCUUGCAACUCAUCCUUAAGCGGCUGCAUGUACACAUUCAUAUUCUUCCCCGGAUAGUUGGGCCCUGGAAUUAUCAACGUCAGGAAUAUGUUCUUUCUUUUCAUAAUCUCUCCGGGUGGCAAAUUUAGUGGAAUGACAAAUACAGGCCAACAACUGUAUUGUGCUGCCGUCAUACCAUACACAUUGAACCCAUCCGUGCUGAUGGCAACUCUAGGUUGCCUUGGAUCUUCCGAUUUAUCCUUAUGUAAUGCAUCGAAGUGCCUCCACGCAAAACCAUCUGAAGUGUGUACCAGCAUCUUGUUCCCAUCCGCAUCUAGUUCGGUUCUUUUGCCCAAUUUGUGCCAUGUCAUCUGUCUGGCCGUCUCUUCGACCAUGAAAAGACGUUGAAGUCUUGGUACGAUUGGCAGAUAUCGAAGAACACUAAUGGGGAUUUUGGUCUGAUUCUUCUCACCCAUGCCGUUGUCUACCACAAUAUAUCUGGAAGAAUUGCAAAUGGGGCAAUUUCAAGGCCGCAUACUCAAGCCUAAAUAAGGCACAUCCAUUCUCACAGGCAUGUAUCUUCUCAUAGGGCAUCUUAAGUACACGGAGGAUUUUCUCUGACUGGUACAGGUUUGCAGGCAGUACAUGGCCUUUGGGUAGAAAGCGUCCAAAUAUCGUCAUCAUCGCGUCGUAGCAUUCUCUGCCUAGGUUGAAUUGAGCCUUCAGAGCCAUUACUUGUGCGAUGACAUCCAGCUGGCAAAGCUCAGUCUGCUCGUGGAGAGGACGUUUUGAAGACUCCAGCAUUUCAUAGAAGGCCUUUGCAGAUUCCUCCAUCUCAUCAUCCGAAUCACGAGCAUCAUCAAAGUCUUGCACCAUGUCUUCAAUCCCGGUACCAUGCUCGUCGGUGCGACGACGAAUCACCUCAGCUCUGGCACGUUGGUCAGACUCACCAUGAAAAGUCCACACCGUAUAAUUAGGCGUAAAACCCCACUUCAGCAGGUGUUUACCCAUUUCAAACUCUGUCUGCUUUUUCGAGUUGUCGCAGUUGGGACAGGGGCACCAUGUUUUAUGCUGGCCAUUUGCAAAUGCGGCUCUCACAAACCCCCUGGUUUUUGUUAACCAUUCAUGGGUCAUGUCUUUCUGACUAGGGUGACCAGUGUACAUCCAAGCACGAUCACUCAUGUUGCCUAGCUACCUAUGGGGGCACAAGAAAUAAAUAUAUAAUUCAUCAUCUAUAUUCAUACGCUAAUCAAGUUUGUCAGUUUUAUUACGUCCAUGCAAUCUACACGCUAAUAGGUAAAGAUAGGUCCUAAUCCCACCCGAGUAUGUGUAGACUGGGUUCGUUUUCCCAUGCUCUGCUCCAGAUGCGACGCAGAAUUUCGGCAGCACCUGCCCGCUGUUCUCCUGAUACACGUCUCGGCAAUAAGCAGAGAGGAUGUGUACCCGGAGAACAACAGGGGAGGCACUGACGAAAUUCCACAUCGGAUCCGGAGCACAGCAUACGGGAAAACAAACCCAAUCUACACAUACUCGGGUUGUCCAUGGAUAAUGUUGGACAAUUCGAAAGGAUGGCGGUUAUAAAUAUGCAAAGAAAUGCAUAUUUAUAGAUGUCGCCCUUUCGAACGGGAGACGCAUACUGGUCACGCAUACUCAUGAUUGAAGAAACCUAUAGCUAGCAAGUUUCAUCGGCACGAAGACAGGGACAGAGCAAAUUAAGGGGGUAGGAGGAGAAGUCAUUUGUGCUCACCAACAAAUGCAAGGGCGGAGCUCGUCCAACGCACGUGGAGGUCGUCGAACAACUGCACAUUGAAAUUCACCAGAUCAACACAAAUAUGAUGUUUUUAUAAUUAACAUAAUCGGAAAAUAUGUGACCUAACUCAUAAUUUACAAAAUUAUGACCCCGUCGGCUUAGUGGCGGCGAUGGUCGGUGGUGCCGGGUGUCGGUGGCGUCGAUGGUCGGUGGUGUCGGGUGUCGGUGGCGUCGGCGGUCGGGGGUUAGUUGUUGGAAUUAUGCCCUAGAGGCAAUAAUAAAUGUAUAGUUAUUAUUAUAAUUCCUGUAUCAAGAUAAUAGUUUAUUAUCCAUGCUAUAAUUGUAUUGAAUGAAGACUCAUUUACAUGUGUGGAUACAUAGACAAAACACCGUCCCUAGCAUGCCUCUAGUUGGCUAGCCAGUUGAUCGAUGAUAGUCAGUGUCUUCUGAUUAUGAACAAGGUGUUGUUGCUUGAUAACUGGAUCACGUCAUUGGGAGAAUCACGUGAUGGACUAGACCCAAACUAAUAGACGUAGCAUGUUGAUCGUGUCAUUUUGUUGCUACUGUUUUCUGCGUGUCAAGUAUUUAUUCCUAUGACCAUGAGAUCAUAUAACUCACUGACACCGGAGGAAUGCUUUGUGUGUAUCAAACGUCGCAACGUAACUGAGUGACUAUAAAGAUGCUCUACAGGUAUCUCCGAAGGUGUUAGUUGAGUUAGUAUGGAUCAAGACAGGGAUUUGUCACUCCGUGUGACGGAGAGGUAUCUCGGGGCCCACUCGGUAAUACAACAUCACACAUAAGCNNNNNNNNNNNNNNNNNNNNNNNNNNNNNNNNNNNNNNNNNNNNNNNNNNNNNNNNNNNNNNNNNNNNNNNNNNNNNNNNNNNNNNNNNNNNNNNNNNNNAAAAAUCAAAGGAAAGAAAAAAAAAGGGAAGAAGUGGGAAAGGGGAAGGACUCCCUCCCACCAAACCAAGUAGGACUCGGUUUGGGGGGGGGGGGAGAGUCCUCCCCCCUGGCUCGGCCGACCCCUUGGGGAUCCCUUGGACCCCAAGGCAAGGUCCCCCUCCCUCCUCCUAUAUAUAUGGGGCUUUUAGGGCAGAUUUGAGACGACUUUCUCACGGCUGCCCGACCACAUACCUCCAUAGUUUUUCCUCUAGAUCGUGUUUCUGCGGAGCUCGGGCGGAGCCCUGCUGAGACAAGAUCAUCACCAACCUCCGGAGCGCCGUCACGCUGCCGGAGAACUCUUCUACCUCUCCGUCUCUCUUGCUGGAUCAAGAAGGCCGAGAUCAUCGUCGAGCUGUACGUGUGCUGAACGCGGAGGUGCCGUCCGUUCGGUACUAGAUCGUGGGACUGAUCGCGGGAUUGUUCGCGGGGCGGAUCGAGGGACGUGAGGACGUUCCACCACAUCAACCGCGUUCUCUAACGCUUCUGCUGUACGAUCUACAAGGGUACGUAGAUCACUCAUCCCCUCUCGUAGAUGGACAUCACCAUGAUAGGUCUUCGUGCGCGUAGGAAAAUUUUUGUUUCCCAUGCGACGUUCCCCAACAGUGGCAUCAUGAGCUAGGUUCAUGCGUAGAUGUCUUCUCGAGUAGAACACAAAAGGUUUUGUGGGCGGUGAUGUGCGUUUUGCUGCCCUCCUUAGUCUUUUCUUGAUUCCGCGGUAUUGUUGGAUUGAAGCGGCUUGGACCGACAUUACUCGUACGCUUACGAGAGACUGGUUUCAUCGUUACGAGUAACCCCCUUUGCUCAAAGAUGACUGGCAAGUGACGGUUUCUCCAACUUUAGUUGAAUCGGAUUUGACCGAGGAGGUCCUUGGAUGAGGUUAAAUAGCAACUCAUAUAUCUCCGUUGUUGUGUUUGCGUAAGUAAGAUGCGAUCCUACUAGAUACCCUUGGUCACCACGUAAAACAUGCAACAACAAAAUUAGAGGACGUCUAACUUGUUUUUGCAGGGUAUGAUUGUGAUGUGAUAUGGCCAACGAUGUGAUGUGAUAUAUUGGAUGUAUGAGAUGAUCAUGUUGUAAUAGAAAUAUCGACUUGCACGUCGAUGGUACGGCAACCGGCAGGAGCCAUAGGGUUGUCUUUAUACUAACAUAUUUGUGCUUGCAGAUGCGUUUACUAUUUUGCUAGGAUGUAGCUUUAGUAGUAAUAGCAUAAGUAGCACGACAACCCCGAUGGCAACACGUUGAUGGAUGAUCAUGGUGUGGCGCCGGUGACAAGAAGAUCGUGCCGGUGCUUUGGUGAUGGAGAUCAGGAAGCACGUGAUGAUGGCCACAUCAUGUCACUUAUGAAUUGCAUGUGAUGUUAAUCCUUUUAUGCACCUUAUUUUGCUUAGAACGACGGUAGCAUUAUGAGGUGAUCUCUCACUAAAAUUUCAAGACGAAAUUGUGUUCUCCCCGACUGUGCACCGUUGCUACAGUUCGUCGUUUCGAGACACCACGUGAUGAUCGGGUGUGAUAGACUCAACGUUCACAUACAACGGGUGCAAAACAGUUGCGCACGCGGAACACUCGGGUUAAGCUUGACGAGCCUAGCAUGUGGAGACAUGGCCUCGGAACACAUGAGACCGAAAGGUCGAUCAUGAAUCAUAUAAGUUGAUAUGAUUAGCAUAGGGAUGCUUACCACUGAAACUACUCUCGACUCACGUGAUGAUCGGACUUGGGAUAGUGUAAGUGGAUCAUGAACCACUCAAAUGACUAGAGAGAUGUACUUUUUGAGUGGGAGUUUAGCAUAUAAUUUGAUUAAAUUGAACUCUAAUUAUCUUGAACAUAGUCUAAGUUCACUUUGAAUAUAUUUGUGUUGUAGAUCAUGGCUCACGCAAGUGUCAUCCUGAAUUUUAAUACGUUCCUAGAGAAAGCUAAGUUGAAAGAUGACGGAAGCAACUUUGUAGACUGGGCUCGUAAUCUUAGGCUUAUCUUACAAGCUGGAAAGAAGGAUUAUGUCCUUAAUGCUGCGCUAGGAGAUGAACCACCCGCUACGGCUGAUCAGGAUGUUAAGAACGCUUGGUUAGCACGUAAGGAGGACUACUCAAUAGUUCAAUGUGCAGUCUUGUAUGGCUUAGAACCGGGACUUCAACGUCGCUUUGAGCGUCAUGGAGCAUUUGAUAUGUUCCAGGAGUUGAAAUUUAUCUUUCAGAAGAAUGCCCGGAUCGAGAGGUAUGAGACCUCCGAUAAAUUCUAUGCUUGCAAGAUGGAGGAAAACUCGUCUGUCAGUGAACAUGUGCUCAAAAUGUCUGGGUACUCAAACCGUCUAGCUGAACUGGGGAUUGAACUCCCGCAAGAAGCUAUCACUGACAGAAUCCUUCAAUCACUGCCGCCAAGCUAUAAAGGCUUUGUGUUGAACUACAACAUGCAAGGGAUGAACAAGUCUCCCGGCGAGUUGUUUGCGAUGCUGAAAGUCGCAGAGUCUGAACUCCGUAAAGAGCAUCAAGUGUUGAUGGUGAGCAAGACCACUAGUUCCAAGAGAAACGGCAAAGGCCAGAAGGGCAAUUCGAAGAAGAGCGGCAAGCCUGUUGCCAAUCCGCCGAAGAAACCCAAGGCUGGACCUAAGCCUGAAACAGAGUGCUUCUAUUGCAAGGGUAUGGGUCACUGGAAGCGCAAUUGCCCCAAGUAUCUGGCAGAUAAGAAGGCGGGCAAAGAAAAAUCAGGUAUAUUUGAUAUACAUGUUAUUGAUGUGUACUUAACCGGCUCUCGUAGUAGUGCCUGGGUAUUCGAUACCGGUUCUGUUGCUCACAUUUGCAACUCGAAGCAGGAACUGCGGAAUAGACGAAGGCUGGCAAAAGACGAAGUGACGAUGCGCGUAGGAAACGGUUCCAAGGUUGAUGCAAUCGCCGUCGGCACAGUGUCACUUCAACUACCAUCGGGAUUAGUGAUGAACUUAAAUCAUUGUUAUUUAGUGCCUGCGUUGAGCAUGAACAUUAUAUCUGGAUCUUGUUUAUUGCGAGACGGUUACUCUUUAAGUCUGAAAAUAAUGGUUGUUCUAUUUCUAUGAGUAACAUCUUUUAUGGUCAUGCACCGAAUGUGAGAGGAUUGUUCAUAUUGAAUCUUGAUAGAGAUACGCAUAUACAUAACAUUGAGACCAAAAGAGUUAGAGUAAACAAUGAUAGCGCCAUAUUUUUGUGGCACUGCCGCUUGGGUCAUAUUGGUGUAAAGCGCAUGAAGAAACUCCAUGCUGAUGGACUUUUGGAGUCACUUGACUUUGAUUCACUUGACACGUGCGAACCAUGCCUCAUGGGCAAGAUGACUAAGACUCCGUUCUCCGGAACAAUGGAGCGUGCAAGUGACUUGUUGGAAAUCAUACAUACCGAUGUGUGUGGUCCAAUGAGCGUGGAGGCACGCGGCGGAUAUCGUUAUUUUCUCACCUUCACUGACGAUUUAAGUAGAUAUGGUUAUGUCUACUUGAUGAAGCACAAGUCUGAAACAUUUGAAAAGUUCAAGCAAUUUCAGAGUGAAGUGGAAAAUCAUCGUAACAAGAAGAUCAAGUUCCUACGGUCUGAUCGUGGGGGUGAAUAUCUGAGUUUCGAGUUUGGUACUCACUUAAGACAAUGUGGAAUUGUUUCGCAGUUAACACCGCCUGGAACACCACGGCGUAAUGGUGUGUCCGAACGUCGUAAUCGUACUUUGUUAGAAAUGGUGCGAUCUAUGAUGUCUCUUACUGAUUUGCCGUUAUCGUUUUGGGGUUAUGCAUUAGAAACAGCUGCAUUCACUUUAAAUAGGGCACCAUCGAAAUCCGUUGAGACGACACCAUACGAACUGUGGUAUGGCAAAAGGCCAAAGUUGUCGUUUCUUAAAGUUUGGGGAUGUGAUGCUUAUGUCAAAAAGCUUCAGCCUGAAAAGCUGGAACCCAAAGCGGAAAAGUGCGUCUUCAUAGGUUACCCAAAAGAGACAGUUGGGUACACCUUCUAUCUCAAAUCCGAGGGCAAAGUGUUUGUUGCUAAGAACGGAACUUUUCUCGAGAAGGAGUUUCUCUCGAGAGAAUUGAGUGGGAGGAAGAUAGAACUUGACGAGGUUGUCGAACCUCUCAUCCCUCUGGAUGGUGGCGCAGGGCAAGGGGAAACCUCUGUCAUUGCGACGCCGGUUAAGGAGGAAGUUAAUGAUGAUGAUCAUGAAACUCCAGUUCAAGUUUCUGUUGAACCACGCAGGUCGACGAGAUCACGCGCUGCUCCAGAGUGGUACGGUAAUCCCUUCUUAUCAAUCAUGUUGUUAGACAACAAUGAACCUGCAAAUUAUGAAGAAGCAAUGGUGGGCCCAGAUUCCAACAAAUGGCUAGAAGCCAGGAAAUCCGAGAUAGGAUCCAUGUAUGAGAACAAAGUGUGGACUUUGGAGAUACUGCCUGAGGGCCGCAAGGCUAUUCAGAACAAAUGGAUCUUUAAGAAGAAGACAGACGCUGACGGUAAUGUGACCGUUUAUAAAGCUCGACUUGUGGCAAAGGGUUUUUCACAAGUUCCAGGAAUUGACUACGAUGAGACUUUCUCUCCCGUAGCGAUGCUUAAGUCCGUCAGAAUCAUGUUAGCAAUAGCUGCAUUUUUCGAUUAUGAAAUCUGGCAGAUGGAUGUCAAAACGGCGUUCCUUAACGGUUACCUUAAGGAAGAGUUGUAUAUGAUGCAACCCGAAGGUUUUAUCGAUCCUAAAAAUGCUGACAAGGUGUGCAAGCUCCAGCGAUCCAUUUAUGGACUGGUGCAAGCAUCUCGGAGUUGGAACAAACGCUUUGAUGAGGUGAUCAAAGCAUUUGGGUUUAUACAAGUGGUUGGAGAAUCUUGUAUUUACAAGAAAGUGAGUGGGAGCUCUGUGGCGUUUCUAAUAUUAUAUGUGGAUGACAUAUUACUGAUUGGAAACAACGUAGAACUUUUGGAGAGCAUAAAAGGUUACUUGAAUAAAAGUUUCUCUAUGAAGGACCUAGGAGAAGCUGCUUACAUUCUAGGCAUUAAGAUCUAUAGGGAUAGAUCAAAACGCCUGAUAGGACUUUCACAAAGCACAUACCUUGAUAAAGUUUUGAAGAGGUUCAAAAUGGAACAGUCCAAGAAAGGGUUCUUGCCAGUGUUACAAGGUACGAGAUUGAGUAAGACUCAGUGCCCAGCAACUGAUGAAGAUAGAGAGCAUAUGCGCUCCGUCCCCUAUGCUUCAGCCAUAGGCUCUAUCAUGUAUGCAAUGCUGUGCACUAGACCGGAUGUUAGCCUGGCCAUAAGUAUGGCAGGUAGGUUCCAGAGUAAUCCAGGAGUGGAUCACUGGACGGCGGUCAAGAAUAUCCUGAAGUGCCUGAAAAGGACUAAGGAGAUGUUUCUCGUGUAUGGAGGUGACGAAGAGCUCACCGUAAAAGGUUACGUCGAUGCAAGCUUUGACACAGAUCCGGACGACUCUAAGUCGCAAACCGGAUACGUAUUUAUUCUUAAUGGGGGUGCAGUAAGCUGGUGCAGUUCCAAGCAAAGCGUCGUAGCAGAUUCUACAUGUGAAGCGGAGUACAUGGCUGCCUCGGAGGCGGCUAAGGAGGGUGUCUGGAUGAAGCAGUUCAUGACGGAUCUUGGAGUGGUGCCAAGUGCACUGGAUCCAAUAACCUUGUUCUGUGACAACACUGGUGCCAUUGCCUUAGCAAAGGAACCAAGGUUUCACAAGAAGACCAGACACAUCAAAACGACGCUUCAACCUCAUCCGCGACUACGUCGAGGAGGAGGACGUAAAUAUAUGCAAAGUGCACACGGAUCUGAAUGUAGCAGACCCGCUGACUAAACCUCUUCCACGGCCAAAACAUGAUCGACACCAGAACUGUAUGGGUGUUAGAUUUAUUACAAUGUAAUUCACAUGGUGAUGUGAGGGCUAGAUUAUUGACUCUAGUGCAAGUGGGAGACUGUUGGAAUUAUGCCCUAGAGGCAAUAAUAAAUGUAUAGUUAUUAUUAUAAUUCCUGUAUCAAGAUAAUAGUUUAUUAUCCAUGCUAUAAUUGUAUUGAAUGAAGACUCAUUUACAUGUGUGGAUACAUAGACAAAACACCGUCCCUAGCAUGCCUCUAGUUGGCUAGCCAGUUGAUCGAUGAUAGUCAGUGUCUUCUGAUUAUGAACAAGGUGUUGUUGCUUGAUAACUGGAUCACGUCAUUGGGAGAAUCACGUGAUGGACUAGACCCAAACUAAUAGACGUAGCAUGUUGAUCGUGUCAUUUUGUUGCUACUGUUUUCUGCGUGUCAAGUAUUUAUUCCUAUGACCAUGAGAUCAUAUAACUCACUGACACCGGAGGAAUGCUUUGUGUGUAUCAAACGUCGCAACGUAACUGGGUGACUAUAAAGAUGCUCUACACGUAUCUCCGAAGGUGUUAGUUGAGUUAGUAUGGAUCAAGACUGGGAUUUGUCACUCCGUGUGACGGAGAGGUAUCUCGGGGCCCACUCGGUAAUACAACAUCACACAUAAGCCUUGCAAGCAAUGUAACUUAGUGUAAGUUGCGGGAUCUUGUAUUACGGAACGAGUAAAGAGACUUGCCGGUAAACGAGGUUGAAAUAGGUAUACGGAUACUGACGAUCGAAUCUCGGGCAAGUAACAUACCGAAGGACAAAGGGAAUGACAUACGGGAUUAUACGAAUCCUUGGCACUGAGGUUCAAACGAUAAGAUCUUCGUAGAAUAUGUAGGAUCCAAUAUGGGCAUCCAGGUCCCGCUAUUGGAUAUUGACCGAGGAGUCUCUCGGGUCAUGUCUACAUAGUUCUCGAACCCGCAGGGUNNNNNNNNNNNNNNNNNNNNNNNNNNNNNNNNNNNNNNNNNNNNNNNNNNNNNNNNNNNNNNNNNNNNNNNNNNNNNNNNNNNNNNNNNNNNNNNNNNNNUUAGUUGUGUCGGUGGUCGGGGGUUAGUGUUGUCGGGGGUCGAGGAUCACUGGCGUCGGGGGUUGGGGUCUCUUUGGUCAACAAGAGGCCGAAGAGGUGUCGGGGGUCGGGGUUUGGGGGUCAAUGGUGUCGGGGGUCGGGGUAGGGGGCCGGGGGUCGAGGGUCAGGGGUGUCGGGGGUCGGGGGUCAAGGGUCAGUGGCGUCGGGAGUCGAGGGUCAGUGGCGUCGGGCGUCGGGGGUCGAGGGUCGAGGGUCAGUGGCUUCUGUAGUCGAGGGUCAAUGGCGUCGGGCAUCGGGGGUCGGGGGUUAGUGGAGUCAGGCGUCGGGAGUCGGGGGUCGGGGGUUAGUGGUGUCGGGCGUCGGGGGUCGGGAGUCGGGUCUCAGUGGCGUCGGAGGUCGGGGGUCGAGGGUCGGGGGNNNNNNNNUUCCUACCUAAUAAACUAACUAUGUAAUUUCACAUAAAAAACAGGGCUCUAAAUAUCCAAAAGAACCUAUAAGUAAAGCAAACUUCUACUUUAUUAUAUAAAUUCAAACAUGUGUUAUUUAAUAUAAUAUCUAUAUAACUAUCGUAUACGAACUCUUUUUAGCUCCGGGAUCACACCUCCUUGUGGGAUACAUGAUUGAUGAUUCUUACUGUUUUCUAAAACAUACACAAGUAACAUGAAUCAACUUACUUACACUAUGAAUAAGACUUUAUAGCUAAUAAAAUAAAAUAAGGCUUUACCUUGAUGCAAGAUUAUGAAAAAAAAAUGUACAUUAGCAAAAUAAAAUCCAGCCUCCUAUGAACAAUUUAAGCUGAGAAAAAACAGGAAAUAAAGAAAAAAAGAAANNNNNNNNNNNNNNNNNNNNNNNNNNNNNNNNNNNNNNNNNNNNNNNNNNNNNNNNNNNNNNNNNNNNNNNNNNNNNNNNNNNNNNGAAAAGAAAGAAAAAAAAUUACCUGCAGUGGGAGGAGGGCAGUGGGAGGAGGGGAGGGCGAGCUCCGGCCCUGGGCGGCGGGGAGGAGGGGCGUGGGGAGGACGUGCGCGGGGAGGAGGGGCGGGCGAGCUCCGACUAUGGGGGUGGCGCCCCUUUGCGGGGAGGAGGGGAGCGGGGAGAGCCGGUCGUCGGCGGCGGGGAGGAGGUCCGUGGGGAGGAGGGCCGCAGGGAGGAGGGCGGCGGCGGUGGGCCGGAGCAGUGAAGGGGGUGGUGGCGGCGGCGCUGUAGUGCAGGGAGGAGGGGCGGGCGAGCUCCGGCCGUGGGGGUGGCGCCCCUUUGCGGGGAGGAGGGGAGCGGGGAGAGCCGGUAGUCGGCGGUGGGGAGGAGGGCCGUGGGGAGGAGGGCCGCAGGGAGGAGGGCGGCGGCGGUGGGCCGGAGCAGUGAAGGGGGUGGCGGCGGCGGCGCUGUAGUGGGCAGGGGCGCGCGCGAGAUGAGGCAGGAAAUCGACGGGGAGCGUGCCGUUAGGGGAGCGGGGGUGGGGGCUGGGUGCCGUUAGGGGGAGCCCCCUUGGCCGUCUGCAGAAGCUGGGAGGCGGACGGCAAAGGGGUGGGUGGGUGGGGCGGGCUUCGGCCGUUAGGGGGAGCCCCCCUUUGCCGUCCGGGUUUUCUUUGCCGUCCGGGUUUUCUUUUCCGUCCGCCUCGGGGCCUUUGCCAUGCGUCAGCAGACGGCAAAGAGGUAGCCGACGGCAAAUAAAACCUUUGCCAUCAGCAACCUCUUUGUCGUCUGCUUUGUGCCAGCUGACGGCAAAGAAGAUCUUUGCCAUGUGUCAGCAGACGGCAAAGGCAUGGCAGAUGGCAAAUUUCUCAAUUCCAGUAGUGACCGUAAUAUUUGCUAUCAUGAGAUAAGCCUCUAGUGAACACUAUGGCCCCCGGGUCUACUUCACAUAAUAUUUUCAGCUCCACAAUUUUACUUUGUUGCACUUUCCACCUUCAGAUCUCACCUUGCAAUCAAUCGUGAAGGGAUUGACAACCCCUUUUUAGCGUUGGGUGCAAGUUUGCUGUUUUUGCGCACGUACUUUGGAGACAUGGCUUGAUACUCCUACGGGAUUGAUACCUUGGUUCUCAAACUAAGGGAAAUACUUAGUGCUACUGUGCUGCAUUGAUAACCCACAAGUAUAGGGGAUCAAUUGUAGCCUUUCUCGAUAAGUAAGAGUGUCGAACCCAACGAGGAGCUAAAGGUAGGACAAAUACUCCCUCAAGUUCUAUCGACCACCGAUACAACUCUACGCACACUUUACGUUCGCUUUACCUAGAACAAGUAUGAAACUAGAAGUACUUUGUAGGAGUGAUAGGAAAGGUUUGCAAGAAAAGAAAGAACAUGAAAAAACUUGGGACUGGUUAGAAACAAUUACUUUAGUUUAACGAGUGUGGAAAAGUGGUGGUAGUCAUUGCGGAAUUGUCCCUAAGCAAUUGACUACGUUACUAGACCGAUAUCAAGUUUUACGUGGGAGAGGCCACUACUAGCAUGUCAUCCCUUACUUGGAAUUCUAUGCACUUAUGAUUGGAACUAUUAGCAAGCAUCCGCAACUACUAAUGUUCAUUAAGGUAAAACCCAACCAUAGCAAUAAGAUAUAUUGGUCCCCCUUCAAUCCCGUAUGCAUCAAUUUCUAUGCUAGGCUGAAGCUUCUGUCACCCUUGCCCUCCAAUACAUAGUCCUAUCAACAUACAACUAACCCUAUGGUGUGAUCCACGUGCGCUCAUAUGAUGGGCACCAAAGGACAGCAACAUAACCACAAGCAAAUUAAACCAAUCAUAGCAAUUCAUCAAUCACCGAUAGGACAACAAAAAUCUACUCAGACAUCAUAGGAUGGCAACACAUCAUUGGAUAAUAAUAUGAAGCAUAAAGCACCAUGUUCAAGUAGAGGGUACAACGGGUUGCGGGAGAGUGGACCUCUGAAUAUAGAUGGGGAAGGUGAUGGAAGUGUUGGUGAAGAUGACGGAGGUGUUGGUGUAGAUCGCUGUCACACGAUGAUGUCCAGGGCGGCGUUCCGGCGCCGCCUAGAGAGAGGGGGAGAGAGCCCCCUUCUUCUUAUUAUUACUUGACCUCCUCCCUAGAUGGGAUAAGGGUUUCCCCUCUGGUCCCUGGUCUCCAUGGCGGCGGAGGGGCGAGAGCCCCUCCGAGAUUGGAUCUCUCUCUCUCUGUGUCCUUCUGUUUCUGCACUCCCACAUUUUUCCUUUCACCGUUUCUUAAAUUCCCGGAGAUCCGUAACUCCGAUUGGGCUGAAAGUUUAACACGAUUUUCUUCCGGAUAUUAUCUUUCUUGCGGAAAAAGAAGGGCCCCAACCGCCUUAGGGAUUGGUCACAAGCCUGCCAGGUGCGGCCCCACCCCCAGGCCGUGUCUAGGGGGCUUGUGACCUCCUCGGGCAUCGUUUCGCGUAGAUUCUUCUUCCCAAAAAUCAUAAAUUCCAAAAGAAUCCCCGUAGGUUUUUUAUUGCGUUUGGACUUCGUUUGGUAUGGAUAAUCUGCAAAACAAAAAAACAUGCAACAAACAGGAACUGGCACUGGGCACUGGAUCAAUAUGUUAGUCCCAAAAAAAGUAUAAAAAGUUGCCAAAAGUAUAUGAAAGUUGUAGAAUAUUGGCAUGAAACAAUCAAAAAUUAUAGAUAUGACGGAGACGUAUCAUCAUCCCCAAGCUUAAUUCCUACUCGUCCUCGAGUAGGUAAAUGAUAAAAAAGAUAAUUUUUGAUGUGGAAGGCUACCUAGCAUAAUCUUGAUCAUAUAAUCAAAUCAUGACAUGAAUACUAAAACACGAGUGAUUCGAAGCAAUAGUCUAUCAUUUGACAUAAAUACAAUAAUAUUUCAAGCAUACUAACAAAGCAAUCAUGUCUUCUCAAAAUAUCAUGGCCAAAGAAAGUUGUCCCUACAAAAUCAUAUAGUCUCGCUAUGCUCCAUCUUCCCCACACAACGUAUUUAAAUCAUGCACAACCCCGGUUUCAGCCAAGCAAUUGUUUCAUACUUUAGUGUUCUCAAACUUUUUCAACUUUCAUGCAAUACAUGAGCGUAAGCCAUGGACAUAGCACUAUAGGUGGAAUAGAAUAUGUUGGUUGUGGAGAAGACAAAAAGGAGGAGAUAGUCUCACAUCAACUAGGCGUAUCAAUGGGCUAUGGAGAUGCCCAUCAAUAGAUAUCAAUGUGCGUGAGUAGGGAUUGUCAUGCAACAGAUGCACAAGAGCUAUAAGUGUAUGAAAGCUCAGAAAGAAACUAGUGGGUGUGCAUCCAACUCGCUUUCUCACGAAGACCUAGGGCAAUUUGAGGAAGCCCAUCAUUGGAAUAUACAAGCCAAAUUCUAUAAUGAAAAUUUCCCACUAGUAUAUGAAAGUGGCAACAUAGGAGACUCUCUAUCAUGAAGAUCAUGGUGAUACUUUGAAGCACAAGUGUGGUAAAGGAUAGUAGCAUUGUCCCUUCUCUCUUUUCUCUCAUUUUUUUAUUAUAUAUAUUUUUUUUCUCUUUUUUUGGUGGGCUUCUUUGGCCUCUUUUUUUAUUUGGGCUUCGUUGGCCUCUUUUAUUACUUCCUCACAUGGGACAAUGCUCUAAUAAUGAUGAUCAUCACACUUUUAUUUACUUACAACUCAAUAAUUAGAACAAAAUAUGACUCUAUGUGAACGCCUCUGGCGGUGUACCGGGAUGUGCAAUGAUCUAGCGUAGCAAUGACAUCAAAAAACGGACAAGCCAUGAAAACAUCAUGCUAGCUAUCUUACGAUCAUGCAAAGCAAUAUGACAAUGAUGGUGCAUGUCAUAAUAAACGAAACGAUGGAAGUUGCAUGGCAAUAUAUCUUGGAAUGGCUAUGGAAAUGCCAUAAUAGGUAGGUAUGGUGGCUGUUUUGAGGAAGGGUAUAUGUUGGGUGUAAUGCACCGGCGGAAGUUACGUGGUACUAGAGAGGCUAGCAAUGGUGGAAGGGUGAGAGUGUGUAUAAUCCAUGGACUCAACAUCAAUCAUAAAGAACUCACAUACUUAUUGCAAAAGUCUAUUAGUCAUCGAAACAAGGUACUAUACGCAUGCUCCUAGGGGAAGGGUUGGUAGGAGUUAACCAUCGCGCGAUCCCGACUUCCACACAAAGGAUGACAAUCAAUAAAUAAAUCAUGCUCCGACUUCGUCACAUAACGGUUCACCAUACGUGCAUGCUACGGGAAUCACAAACCUUAACACAAGUAUUUCUACGAAUACACAAUUACUCACUAACAUGACUCUAAUAUCACAUCUUCAUGUCGCAAAAUUAUUGCAGGGAAUCAAACAUAUCAUAUUCAGUGAUCUACAAGUUUUAUGUAGGAUUUUAUGACUAACCAUGUCAAUGAUCAACUCCUGUUAACUCUCUAAAUAGGUAUAAGUGAAGCAUGGAAGUUUGAUUCUUUCUACAAAAGAUAUGCCCCACUCUAACUAUAAGUGAAGCAAAAGAGCAUUCUACAAAUGGCGGUUUCUAUGUCUAGGGAAACAGGCAAUCCAAACUUCAAAUGAGAUAAGUGAAGCACAUGAAGCAUUCUAUAAAGCCAUACUCAAAAGAUAUAAGUGAAGUGCAAUGAGCAUUCUAUAAAUCAACCAAGUACUAUCUCAUACCAGCAUGGUGCAUAAAAGUAAAAGGAAAAAUAAACACAAAAGACGCUCCAAGCAUUUUCACAUAUCAUGUGACGAAUAAAAAUAUAGCUCCGAGUAAAAUUACCGAUAGAUUGUAGACGAAAGAGGGGAUGCCUUCCGGGGCAUCCCCAAGCUUAGAUGCUUGAGUCUUCCUUGAAUAUUACCUUGGGGGUGCCUCGUUCAUCCCCAAGCUUAGGCUCUUGCCUCUCCUUAUUCCUCCAUCCAUCGUGGUCUCACCCAAAACUUGAAAACUUCGAUCACACAAAACUCAACAAAACCAUCGUGAGAUCCGUUAGUAUAAUAAAGUAAAUCACCACUUUAAGUACUGUUGUGAACUCAUUACAAAUUCAUAUUAGCAUUAUAUCUACUGUAAUCCAACUUCACCAUGGUUCAUACCCCCCGAUACUACCCAUAGAUUCAUCAAAAUAAGAGAAAAUGCAUAGAAAACAGAAUCUGUCAAAAACAGAACAGUCUGUAGUAAUCUGAACAUUUACCAUACUUAUGAUACUCCAAAAAUUCUGAACAAUUAUUAAAAUUAGGGAAAUUUCCAUAUCAAUCAUCAUAAAAAAGAAUCAACUCAAAAGCUCUUUCUGGAUAGGAAUUAAAAAUAAUUUUGUGAGCACAAAGUUUCUGUCUUUUUUGGCAUGAUCAAACAACUAUCACCCAAACUAAUCAUAAAGGCUUUACUUGGCACAUUAUUUUUAUAAUACAAUGUAAUUGUACAAGGGGAUAAUUAUUUUUGCGAGAAACUUCCAUGGAAAAUUCUACAUUGUUUCUAUGAGCAUGAACACAAGUGUUAAAGGUCGACCCUUACUUCCGCAAUGCAUCACCUUUCAAUCGCUUCUCUUUUUGAAAAAGUUUUAAGUUCCCCUCUAUUUUUAAAAAAAUAUAAAAGCCCUCAACAGAAAUAAAUGACUCUCUAAAACUUCCGGGUUGUCUCACAGGCAACGCUUUCUUUAAAGCCAUUAAGCUAGGCAUAAAGUGCUCAAGUAAUGGAUCCACCCAGAUCCCAAGGUAUAUCAAAGCCAAUUUUAAUUAACAAUGAUUUGUAAUUUAGUAGUGAGGACAAGGUAACAUAUAUCAUGCAAUGACGAAGUAUAACUCUCUUCCUAUGCAUUGGCAUGUCAUAAAAGAACAAUUCGUGCACAUCAAGUAAAGGACAAUACAUAGCAUAAGCAGUUUCUUGCAAUUUUAUCGUAUUGGAAACAUAUAGAGGUGGAGAUGUAGUUCCUCUCUCAUAAUAAUUGCAAGUAGGAGCAGCAAGCACAUGCAUAUUAUAUUCGUCAAAAUCAUCAUGUGUAAUAGUAGAAGGCAACCCAUCUAUGUAAUCCCUAAUAAGAGCAAACUUCUCCGAUAUAGUGUAGUUGGGAGAGUUCAAAAAGAUAAUAGGACUAUCAUAAGUGGGUGCGAUAGCAACAAUUUCAUGUUUAACAUAAGGAACUAUAGCAAGUUCAUCUUCAUAAGCAUCAUUCAUAUUGGCAUCAUGGCCACAAGCACAGCAAGCAUCAAGUUCAUCAAAAAGGGAUAUUUCAAACGAAUCCAAGGGAUCAUAGCAAUCAACAUAGUAUUCAUCCUUCGGUAAGAACGAAGGGGAAUUAAACAAUGUAUGAGUUGAAGAGUUACUCUCAUUAGAAGGUGGGCACGGGUAGCUAGUCCGCUCUUCCUCCUUUUGUUCUUUGCUCUCCUCGUCAUCUUUUCAUCUAAUGAGCUCACAGUUUCAGCAUUUUCUUCUUCCAUGGUUGCCUGCAAAAUAUUAUUCUCUUCUUGGGCAGCGUAGAAUUUCUCCAUAAAUCGAUAAAUAUGUGCAUAAUAUUCAUAAUUAGUAUAACAAUAAAGAAGCAUAACCAAAUUUUCAGAUCGGUAAGCAGCAUCAUCAUUAUCAUCACACCCUUUAAAUAGAGCUUCAAUUUCAUAAGCACCCAUAAAAGCAACAAACUAUUCUAUUUGUUCCACAUCAUAGUAAUCAUAUAUACCAUUAGCAUAAGAAGCCAAGGUUUCAUUAGCAUUAAAUUUACAAGAAAAGGGAAGGAGUUGAGCCUUCAUCCUAGAGCAACAAGUAAUAUCAUAUCUCGAGCAUAGCUCCCAAGCAUACCAUUUCAACAUAUGAAUUUGAUCCCAUAAUAGUUUCCCUUUUUGAGUCAAGCAAUAAUCCUUAAAGUAUUCAUGUUGAUCCAACGUGUAUCCCAUUAUAUAAUUUAAUGGGGUUUUCUCAGGAUUAUUAAAGAAAUGCAUAAUAUUUUCCACAUAACGAGCAUCGAGGGUUUUAGGAGGUUCCCCAUCUCCAUGAGUAGCAAGUACACCUAAUUUUUUUUGGUAUUUCGUGUUCCAUAUCCAUAACUAAAGAUAGAGAACAACUUAGAACAACAAAUAAAUCUACUUAGUGAUAAAGCAAACAAGCACACACGAGAAUAUUCACCCCACACUAUUGCUCCCCGGCAACGGCGCCAGAAAAAGGUCUUGAUAACCCACAAGUAUAAGGGAUCAAUUGUAGCCUUUCUUGAUAAGUAAGAGUGUCGAACCCAACGAGGAGCUAAAGGUAGGAAAAAUAUUCCCUCGAGUUCUAUCGACCACCGAUACAACUCUACGCACACUUUACGUUCACUUUACCUAGAACAAGUAUGAAACUAGAAGUACUUUGUAGGAGUGAUAGGAAAGGUUUGCAAGAAAAGAAAGAACACACAAAUAAAAACUUGGGACUGGUUAGAAACAAUUACGUUAGUUUAACGAGUGUGGAAAAGUGGUGGUAGGAGUUGUGGAAUUGUCCCUAAGCAAUUGGCUACGUUACUAGACCGAUAACAAGUUUUAUGUGGGAGAGGCCACUACUAGCAUGUCAUCCCUUACUUGGAAUUCUAUGCACUUAUGAUUGGAACUAUUAGCAAGCAUCCGCAACUACUAACGUUCAUUAAGGUAAAACCCAACCAUAGCAAUAAGAUAUAUUGGUCCCCCUUCAAUCCCGUAUGCAUCAAUUUCUAUGCUAGGCUGAAGCUUCUGUCACCCUUGCCCUCCAAUACAUAGUCCUAUCAACAUACAACUAACCCUAUGGUCUGAUCCACGUGCGCGCUCAUAUGAUGGGCACCAGAGGACAGCAACAUAACCACAAGCAAAUUAAACCAAUCAUAGCAAUUCAUCAAUGACCGAUAGGACAACGAAAUUCUACUCAGACAUCAUAGGAUGGCAACAGAUCAUUGGAUAAUAAUAUGAAGCAUACAGUGCCAUGUUCAAGUAGAGGAUACAACGGGUUGUGGGAGAGUGGACCGCUGAAUAUAGAUGGGGGAAGGUGAUCGAAGUGUUGGUGUAGAUCGCCGUCACAAGAUGAUGUUCCGGGCGCCGUUCCGGCGCCGCCGGGAGAGAGGGGGAGAGAGCCCCCCUUCCUCUUAUUAUUACUUCACCUCCUCCCUAGAUGGGAGAAGGGUUUCCCCUCUGGUCCAUGGUCUCCAUGGCGGCGGAGGGGCGACAACCCCUCCGAGAUUGGAUCUCUCUCUCUGUGUCCUUCUGUUUCUGCGCUCCCACAUUUUUCCUUUCACCGUUUCUUAAAUUCCCGGAGAUCCGUAACUCCGAUUGGGACGAAAGUUUAAUACGAUUUUCUUCCGGAUAUUAUCUUUCUUGCGGCGAAAGAAGGGCCCCAACCGCCUUAGGGAUUGGUCACUAGCCUGCCAGGCGCGGCCCCACCCCUAGGCCGCGCCUAGGGGGCUUGUGACCUCCUCGGGCAUCGUUUCGCGUAGAUUCUUCUUCCCAAAAAUCAUAAAUAUUCCAAAAAAAAAUCCCCGUAGGUUUUUUAUUAUGUUUGUACAUCGUUUGGUAUGGAUAAUCUGCGAAACAAAAAACAUGCAACAAACAGGAACUGGCAUUGGGCACUGUAUCAAUAUGUUAGUCCCAAAAAUAGUAUAAAAAGUUGCCAAAAGUAUAUGAAAGUUGUAGAAUAUUGGGAUGAAACAACCAAAAAUUAUAGAUACGACGGAAACGUAUCAUGCAUCACCCUUUCCUCUUCAAGGGAAAAACCAACGCAAGCUCAAGAGGUAGCAGCAAUCCCCUUUGUCUAUCGGUAUAUAACUUGCCCGAGAUUCGAUCGUCGGUAUCACCAUACCUUGUUCAGUCUCGUUACCGGCAAGUCUCUUUACUCGUUCUAUAACACAUGAUCAUGUAACUAACUCCUUAGUCACAUUGAGCUCAAUAGGAUGAUGUAUUACCAAGUGGGUCCAGAGAUACCUCUCCGUCAUACGAAGUGACAAAUCUUAGUCUCGAUUCGUACCAACCCAACACACACUUUCGGACAUACCUGUAGUGCGCCUUUAUAAUCACCCAAUUACGUUGUGACGUUUGAUACACCCAAAGCAUUCCUACGGUAUCCGGGAGUUGCACAAUCUCAUGGUCUAAGGAAAUGAUACUUGACAAUAGAAAACCUUUAGCAAACGAACUACACGAUCUUGUGCUAUGCUUAGGAUUGGGUCUUGUCCAUCACAUCAUUCUACCAAUGAUGUGAUCCCGUUAUCAAUGAAAUCCAAUGUCCAUGAUCAGGAAACCAUGAUCAUCUAUUGAUCACCGAGCUAGUCAACUAGAGGCUCACUAGGGACACAUUGUGAUCUAUAUAUUCACACAUGUAUUACUGUUUCUGGUUAAUACAAUUAUAGCAUGAAUAAUAGACAAUUAUCAUGAAUAAGGAAAUAUAAUAAUAACCACUUUAUUAUUGCCUCUAGGGCAUAUUUCCAACACUUCCUGUGAUGUUGUAUUACCGAGUGGGCCCUGAGAUACCUCUCCUUCACACUGAGUGAAAAAUCCAAGUCUUGAUCCAUGCCAAAUCUACAGACACCCUCGAAGAUACCUAUAGAGAAUAUUUAUAGUCACCCAUUUACGUUGUGAUGUUUGAUAAACACAAGGCAUUACUCCGGUGUCAGUGAGUUGCAUGAUCUCAUGGUCAUAGGAAUAGAUACAUUGACAUGCAGAAAGCAAUAACUGUUGGAAAUAUGCCCUAGAGGCAAUAAUAAAUUAGUUAUUAUGAUAUUUCCUUGUUCAUGAUAAUUGUUUAUUAUCCAUGCUAAAAUUGUAUUGAUUGGAAACUCAAAUAGAUGUGUGGGUACAUAGAUAACACACUUUCCCUAGUGAGGCUCUACAGGUCUAGCUCGUUGAUCAAAGAUGGUCAAGGUUUCCUGGCCAUAGACAUGAGUUGUUAUUUGAUUACGAAAUCACAUCAUUACGAGAAUGAUGUGACCAACAAGACCCAAACUAUGUAACACAACAUAUGAUCGUGUCAGUUUAUUGCUACCGUUUUCUGCAUGUCAAGUAUCGAUUCCUAUGACCAUGAGAUCAUGCAAAUCCCAAACACCGGAGGAAUGACUUGUGUGUAUCAAACGUCACAACAUAACCGGUGACUAUAAAGGUGCUCUACAUGUAUCUCCGAGGGUCUCUGUUGGGUUAGCGUGAAUCAAGACUGGGAUUUGUCACUACGUAUGAUGGAUAGGUAUCUCUAAGGCCCACUCGGUAAUAAAACAUCACAAGAAUCUUGCAAGCAAUGUGAGUAAGGAGUUAUUCACACGAUCUUGUAUUACGAAAUGAGUAAAGAGACUUGUCGGUAAUGAGAUUGAACUAGGUAUGCGAAUACUAACGAUCGAAUCUCAGGCAAGUAACAUACCGAUGGACAAAAGGGAAUAGUAUACAUGAUUGAUUGAAGCCUUGACAUCGUGGUUCGACCGAUAAAGAUCUUCAUAGAAUAUGUAGGAGCCAAUGUGGGCAUCCAAGUCCCGCUAUUGGUUAUUGGCCAGAGAAUGUCUCGGUCAUGUGUGCAUAGUUUUUGAACCCGCAGGGUAUGCACACUUAAGGUUCGGUGAUGAUUUGGUAUUAACGAGUUAUGUGUGGUGAUAACUUAAAGUUGUUUGGAUUCCCAGAUGAGAUCCUGGGCAUCACGAGGAGCUCCGGAAUGGUUUGGAGGUAAAGAUUGAUAUAUGGGAAGUUCCGUGUUGGUCACCGGAAAAAGUUCGGCGUCACCAGUAGCGUACCGGGAGUGCGAGAAGGGUUCCGGGGGUCCACCGGAAGGGGCCACCAGCACCGGAGGGGCCACAUGGGCUGUGAGGGAUCCACACCAGCCCCUGGUGGGCUGGACACACCUCCCCACCUAGGCCCAUGCGGCUGGGCUGGUGGAGGGACAACCCUAGGAGGUGGCGCCACCCUAACUUGGGUGGCAAGCCACCCCUAGGGCAGCCGCCCCUCCUCCUCUUGGCCGCCCCCCUAGAGGGGAACCCUAGGGAGCAGCCUCUCCUUGCUUCCUCCUAUAUAUAGUAGAGAGGAUAGAGGGCUACAACACCCCAACACCAUGGUGCAACCCUGCCUCUCCUAUAGAUCAGUUUUCUUAAUUAGAUCGGUUUCGGUAGUGCUUGGCGAAGCCCUACCGGAACAACUCCACCACCACAUCCGUCAUACCAUCAUGCUGCCAGAGAACUCAUCUACCUAUCCACCCUCGCUUGCUAGAUCAAGGAGGCGGAGAACAUCAUCGAGCUAUACAUGUGUUGAACGCGGAGGUGUCGUCCGUUCGGCACUAGAUCAAGAUGGACCGUGAUGGGAUCGCGGGACGGAUCGUGAUGAGAUCGCAUAACGGGUCGUGAUUGGAUCGCGAAGACGUUCGACUACAUCAAUAGCAUUAUAUACGCUACCGCUUAGCGAUCUACAAGGGUAUGUAGAGCAUAUGAUUUUUUUUUGUUUCCAAUGCGAUGUUCCCCAACAGUGGCAUCAUGAGCUAAGUCUAUGCGUAGAUGACAUCACGAGUAGAACACAAAGGAGUUUGUGGGUGUUCAUAUUCAGAUUGCUUCCCUCCUUAGUAUUUUAUUGAUUCAGCGGUAUUGUGGGAUGAAGCGGCCCGGACCAACUUUACUCGUCCACGUACGAGAGACCGGUUCCAUCGGCUGACAUGUAACUCAUUGGAUAAAUAUGGCUGGCGGGUGUCUGUCUCUCCCACUUUAAUUGAAUAGGAUUCGACAUAGGCGGUCCUUGUAGAAGGUUAAAUAGCAACUUGUAUAUCACUGUUGUGGUUUUUGCGUAGGUAAGAAGCGUUCUUACUAGAUACCCAUAGCAGCCACGUAAAACAUGCAACAACAAAUUAGAGGACGUCUACCUUAUUUUUGCAGGGUAUGUUGUGAUAUGAUAUGCCAAAUACAUGAUGAUAUAUAUUUGAUGUAUGAUAUAAUCAUGUUGUAAUAGUUAAUAUCGACUUGCAUGUCGAUGCCACGUCAAUCGACAAGAGCAAUAGGGUUGUCUUUAAUUCUUGUAUGACCUGCGUGUCAAUCAUUGAGCGCUAUGUAGUGCUUUACUUUAUUGCUAAACAAUAGCAAUAGUAUUACAAGCAUGGUUGGCGCGACAACCUUGAUGGCAACAUGAUGAUGGACAUCAUGGUGUUGUGCCGGUGACGAUGGAGAUCAUGCCGAUGCUUUGGAUAUUGAGAUCAAAAGCACAAGAUCAUGGCCAUAUCAUGUCACUUAUGAUUUGCAUGUGAUGUUAAUUCUUUUUUAUGCACCUUGUUUUGCUUAGGACGAGAUAGCAUUAUAAGGCGAUCCCUCACUAAAAUUUCAAGAUAAAAUUGUGUUAUCCUCGAGUGUGCACCGUUGUGAAAGUUCAUCGUUUCGAGACACCACGUGAUGAUCGGGUGUGAUAGACUCUACAUUCACAUACAAUGGGUGCAAGAUAGUUUUGCACAUGCAAAACACUCGGGUUAAACUUGAGGAGCCUAGCAUCUACAGACAUGGCCUCGGAACACAGGAGACCGAAUGGUUGAACAUGAGUCAUAUAGUAGAUAUGAUCAACAUAGAGCUGUUUACCGUUGAAACCACCUCAUAUCACGUGAUGAUCACACUUGGGUUGGUGGAUUUGGAUCAUGUAACACUUGAACAACCUGAGGGGUGUUGAGUUUAGUGGGAGUUCUUAAGUAAUAUGAUUAAUUGAACUCAUUAUCAAGAACAUAGUCAAAAUUUCUUUGCAAAUUAUGUUGUACAUCAAUAGCUUGCACUGUAGCUCCCGUGUAUUUUUAAUACGUUCCUAGAGAAAACUAAGUUGAAAUAUGACAGUAGCAAUUAUGUGGAUUGGGUCCGUGAACCGAGGAUUGUCCUCAUUGCUGGACAAAAGGCUUACGUCCUUAAUGCACCGCUCGGUGUGCUACCCCAAGCAUCGUCUGUGGAUGUUGCAAAUAUCUGACAUACAUGUUUUGAUGGCUACAUGAUAGUUCAACGCAUCAUGCUUUACGACUUAGAAUUGAGGCUCCCAAAACGUUUUGAAUGUCACACAACAUAUGAUAUGUUCCAAGAGAUGAAAUUAGGAUUUCAGGCUCGUGCCUGUGUUGAGAGGUAUGAGACCUCUGACAAGAUUCUUUGCCUACAAAGUAAAUGAGAAAAGCUCAAUUUGAGCAUGUGCUCAGAUUGUCUGGGUGCUACAAUCACUCGAAUCGAGUGAAAGUUGAUCUUCCAGAUGAAAUAGUGAUUGACAUAGUUCUCCAAAGUCACUGCCACCAAGCUACUAAGCUUCGUGAUGAACUAUAGCAUACCAGGGAUGGAGUAGAUGAUGCCUGAGCUAUUCGCGAUGUCUAACACCACGAAGGUAGAAAUUGAGAAGGAGCAUCAAGUGUUGAUGGUUAGUAAAAGACUAGUUUCAAGAAGGGCAAGGGAAUGAAGGGAAACUUUGAGAAUGACAAGUCAGUUGUCACUCCAAUGAACAAACCCAAGGUUGAACCCAAACCUGAGACUAAUUGCUUCUAUGAUGAGGGCAAUAGUCACUGAGGCAGGAAUUCCCUAGAUACUUGGUAGAUAAGAAGGUUGGCAAUGUCAACAGAAGUAUAUUAGAUAUACGUGUUAUUGAUGUGUACAUUACUAGUACUCCUAGUAGCACCUGGGUAUUAGAUACCGGUUCAGUUGCUAAAUGUUGGUAACUUGAAAUAAAAGCUAUGGAAUAAACAAAGACUAGCUAAAGGUGAGGUGAUGAUGUGUGUUGGAAGUGUUUCCAAGGUUGAUGUGAGCACCAUCACACGCUCCCUCUACCUUCGAGAUUAGUGUUGUACCUAAAUAAAUGUUAUUUGGUGUUUGCGUUGAGCAUGAACAUGAUUAGAUCGUGUUUAUGCAAUGCAGUUAUUCAUUUGUCAGAGAAUAAUGGUUAUUUUGUUGACAUGAAUAAUACCUUCAUUGGUGAUGCACCCAAUGUGAAUGGUUUAUUGAAUCUCGAUCGUAGUAAUAGACAUGUUCAUAAUAUUGAUGCCAAAUGAUACAAAAUUAGUGAUGAUAGUACCACUUACUUGUGGCAUUGCCGCUUCGGUCAUAUUGGUAUAAAAUGCAUGAAGAAACUCCAUGUUGAUGGAUAUUUGGACUCACUCGAUUUUUGAAUCAUUUGAGACAUGCGAACCAUGCCUAUCGGUGUAAACGCAUGAAGAAACUCCAUGCCGAUGGAUCUUUUGAACUCACUUGAUUUCGAAUCACUUGAGACAUGCGAGCCAUGCCACAUGGGCAAGAUGAAUGAAGGCCUCGUUUUCCAGUGAGAUGGAACGAGAAAGUAACUUAUUGGAAAUAAUACAUUUUGAUGUGUGCAGUCCAAUGAGUGCUAAAGCACGCAGUAGACAUCGUUAUGUUCUUACUUCACAGAUGAUUUGAGUAGAUACACGUGUAUUUAGUUGAUGAAUCACAAGUCUGAAAUAUUGAAAAGUUCAAGCAAUUUCAGAGUGAAGUUGAAGAUCAUCGUGACAAGAGGAUGAUAUGUCUAUGAUGUGAUCAUAGAGGUGAAUAUCUGAGUUGCGAGUUUGGUAUACAUUUAAGGCAAUGUGGAAAUUGUUUCACAACUCAUGCCGCCUGGAACACCAUACACUACUGGAAUCACAUAAUUCUCCAUCUGCUGCUUCUUUGCCGUGUGCUGGCUGAUGGCAAAGACCCUCUUUGCCAUCAGCUACCAAAAACCUGACGGCAAAGAGCAUACUGAUGGCAAAGAUACUCUUUUCCAUAAGUCUAUUCUUUGCCAUCAGCCAACUGAUGGCAAAGAUUCAAGUGGAAGACGACAAAGAACUGACGGCUCGUUGCCGUCUGCCAGCUGACGGCAAAGCACAUGCAGGCAGACGGCAAAGAGCACGGGGCGGCCCACCCCACACCCCCUAUCUCCCCAUAAUGGUCCAAUCCUUUGUCGUCUGCCUUAUACCUCUUUGUCGUCGGGGGCAGACGACAAAGAGGCAAAUAGACCAAACGUCAUCAACCCCCACCCACACCCCUCUCUCCCCCAUAACGGUUCCACCACCGUCCCCUUCUCUCUCCCCACAACCCACCGCGCCACCGGAGCUCGUCCUCCCUCCUUCCCGUGACCCGCCGCCGGAGCUCGCCCCCUCCUCCACCACCGUGCCCCUGCUCCACCACCGCCCCCUCCUCUCCGUGCCCCCUCCUCCACCAUCGCCCCGGUACCCUCCUCCCCGCGACACCCUCUCCUCCACCAUUGCGCCACCCCUUGUCUGCCACUACCCUCUCCUCCCUGCGGACCCCCUCCUCCACCAGCUCCGGCCACGUCACCCACCGCCCCAACCGCCCACCGCCCCGGCUGCCCACUGCUAACCAAGGUGAUUUUUUUAUUUUUUUGCUAAUUAAUAGAUUUAGUGGUAUAUAUAGUUUAGUUGGUAGGUUAGUUAAUUAGUAGAUUUAGUGGUAGUUUAGUUAGUUGGUAGAUUAUGUUUAGUUAGUUGGUAGUUUAGUUAGUUGGUAGAUUUAGUUAGUUAAUUAGUAGAUUUAGUAGGUGGAGCUACGUGGAACUCCAGCAGGGCUUCGCCAAGCACCGUUGAGGACGAGUAGGGAGAGAGGUAGGGCUGCGCCGAGAGGGAGAGAGAACUUGGUGUGCAACAGCCCCAAAACCCUCUCUAUAUAUAGGAGGAGAGGGGAGGGGUGCGCCACCUCUAGGGUUCCCACCCUAGGCGUGGCGGCAGCCCAGAUGGGGACCAAGGCGGCGGCCAGGGUAGGGAGAGGGGACGACGGCGCCCUACGUGGGCCUUGGGGCCUCUCCUGCGCCUAGGGUUUGCCCCCUCCACCUCAUGUUGCGCCUUGGGCUGGGUGGGGAGGCGCACCAUCCCACUUAGGGGCUGGUUCCCUCCCAUACUUGGCCCAUGUAGCCUCCCGGGGCUGGUGGCCCCUCCCGGUGGGCCCCCAGAACCCUUCCAGUGGUCCCGACACUUUGCCCGUGGUGCCCGAAACAUUUCCGACGUCCAAACCCAUCCAUCCUAUAUAUCAAUCUUUACCUCUGGACCAUUCUGGAACUCCUCGUGACGUCCGGGAUCUCAUCCGGGACUCCGAACAACCUUCGGUAACCACGUACAUCAUUUCUCUAUAACCCUAGCAUCAUCGAACCUUAAGUGUGUAGACCCUACGGGUUCGGGAAGCAUGCAGACAUGACCGAGACACCUCUCCGGCCAACAAACAACAACGGAGUCUGGAUACACAUGUUGUCUCCCACAUGUUCCAUGAUGAUCUCAUCGGAUGAACCACGAUGUCAAGGAUUCAAUCAACCCCGUACACAAUUCCCUUUGUCUACCGGUAUAGAACUUGCCCGAGAUUCGAUUGUCGGUAUCCCUAUACCUUGUUCAAUCUCGUUAUCGGUAAGUCUCUUUACUUGUUCCGUAGCACAUCAUCCCGUGACUAACUCCUUAGUCACAUUGAGCUCAUUAUGAUGAUGUUCUACUGAGUGGCCCCUGAGAUACCUCUCCGUCACACGGAGUGACAAAUCCCGGUCUUGAUUCGUACCAACCCAACAGACACUUUUGGAGAUGCCCAUAGUGCACCUUUAUAGUCACCCAGUUACGUUGUGAUGUUUGAUACACCCAAAGCAUUCCUACGGUAUCCGGGAGUUGCACAAUUUCACAGUCUAAGGAAAUGAUACUUGACAUUAGAAAAGCUCUAGCAGACGAACAACACGAUUUAGUGCUAUGCUUACGAUUGGGUCUUGUCCAUCACAUCAUUCUCUCAAUGAUGUGAUCCCGUUAUCAAUGACAUCCAAUGUCCAUGAUCAGGAAACCAUGAUCAUCUGUUGAUCAACAAGCUAGCCAACUAGAGGCUUACUAGGGACAUAUUGUGAUCUAUUUAUUCACACAUGUAUUACUGUUUCCGGUUAAUACAAUUAUAGCAUGAACAAUAGACAAUUAUCAUGAACAAGGAAAUAUAAUAAUAACCACUUUAUUAUUGCCUCUAGGGCAUAUUUCCAACACGCCCUGUGAGCGGCAUCGGCACGCAAGACAUGGUAUGCUAGCAAGUCGCCCUCUUUGUGUGUCAUCAAGUUUAUGCUUGGGUGUUCGUUUGCAUAUCAUUUUGACCAAUAUGCUUGCAUUAUACAUUUGUAGGCAUUUCAAGCUUUGGUGGCAUUCAAGGUCCAACACAAUGGCAAGUGCUUCAACCUCUCCCAUUGCUUUAGGGUGAUCAAGGACGAGAAGAAGUUCAAAGCGCAAUAUGCCGGCCUCAAGUCGUGUGGUGGGAAGCAAGUCGUGGAGGAGGUUGGGGACAACGAGAAGGAUAGGCCGCGGGGGAAGACCAACUCAAAGAAGGAGGACAAGCGGGAUGCGGCAUCGAUCACCUUGAUCGCAACCGUGGAGGGCAUGAUCACCAAGAAGGACUCAAGGGAGGAGAAGCGCCGGCAAGAAAGAGAAAAGCAAAUGAACGCCUUCUUGGAGAUCCAAAGGAGGAGGCUUGAGAUGGAGGCGGAGAAGCAAGCACGGAUGCUUGAGAUGGAGGCGGAGAAGCAAGCCAAGAUGCUAGAGAUCGAGGCCACCAACGCCAAGACCAAGGCCAAAGAAGUGGCUCUCACGAGCAUGAAGACCAGAGUGAAGAUCAUGAAGGUGGAUCUUAACACCGUGUCGCCAAGGAAGAGGUCGUGGUUUAAGAAGAUGCAGACCGACAUGCUCAAGUUCGAUGAGGAGUGAUCUAUGGCGACGAGCGCCAUCCUUUUUUAUGUCGGCAAGUGUGCUAGCAUGACUACGGGGCCGCGAUGGCGUGGUCUAACUCGAGUCCCGCCCAUUUUGUGUGAUGGCAUGUGUGCUGGCCGGCUGACGAGUGCGCCAGCAUGAAAACUGUGGUGUAUUUUCUAAAGCUGGCAUUGUAUGCCGGCGCCGGCAUGGUGCCGGCAUGAUCGGCCACGGGCCCUUUUAUUUAAAUAUUGACUACGGGCAUGAAAUGGGUCGGCGCGUUGGGCACACUGCCGACCCAUAUUUAAAACAGGGUGGACGUCGGGCGGGCGGCCGACACAAAUGGACAAAAAGCGGACAAAGUCACCGUCUGUUUGGGUCGGCCCGUUAGAGUUGCUCUAACUACCCUUGCAUUUAUGGAAAUAUGAUAUUUCCGUACAAUUUUGACAGAAUUUUGAUGGACGAAUUUUGACGGACAGAAACUGCAUGUACUUUCGUGCCCGGACACCCUCGCUUCAUGGUGCCAUGCCGUGAUGCCACCUCAACACCCACCAUUGCCCACUCCACAUUGCCAACCACCUUUAUCAUCCCCAUGCUGCCAGCGAGUCUCCGCCGCCACACCACAUGGCUGGCCACCAUUGCACUACGUGUCAUAGGCCAUUAAAGCAACUCUAAUGGACCGACCCAAACGGACACCGUUUUUAUUCAUUUUUUAUCUCUUUGGGUCCCCGUCCAGCGUCCGUUCCGUUUUAGAUUCGGGUCGGCACUGCGCUCAACGCGUCGAUCCAUUUCUACCGGCGUGGCCUGCUGGCCGCUCUAUUUCAACAAAUAUCUCAUUUUUGCAUUGCUUUUGCAUUCAAACAUAUAGUCAAAUAAUAGUUUCGACCAAAUAAAAUAGCAUAGUUUUACAAGCUCGAUAAAAGUAAAAAUGUAUCACAUAGUUUUGCAAGCAGAAUAAAGAAGAUACAUCUAUUGAUUGCCAACAUGAGCCCACAUAUGCUCAACCAAAUCAUUUUGCAGUUGGACGUGAGUUUUUCAAUCACGUAUAUCAUAAUGAAAUUGGGUGUACUGUUCAAACGUUACCGCUUCUCCAUGCUCACGCACAACAUUCUCACUCUGAAACUGAAACCCUUGAUCGUACAGACGUUCCGGGCGCUCAUCUUCUAUACGAUCAUAUUGUGCAUGAUCACACAAGCAGUCAUCACCUCCCAUAAUUUCUGCGUGCUUCAGGUAUUAGCAGGAUACCGAACGAUGCCCCAUCAAGAUUGCAAAACACCAAAGGCACGCUCGACAUCCUUCCUAGCACUCUCGAUUGCGAUUCAGCGCCGGAAGGUGGCCCGGAAUGGAGCCACGGAACAACGGCCGCUGGCUAUUGUGGUGGUGAUGGACCAACACGGCAGCCAAUAUCUCCUCCUCAUCAUCGGACGACGAAUCGUCGGAGUCACAAAGGAAAUUGUGAAAAAAGAACUCGUCGGCGGAGUCCAUUUUGUACCUUGGCAAAAUGUCGAACACCUUGCGGGCGUCGACGAAAGAGACGGCCGGCGAAGGGAGUCGCGGCUUGCACGGACCAGCUAGCUACCCUGCCGGCCUCCGACGAGCGUGCCGGUGAGGAUCUGGAUGGGGCAGUGAGGCGACUUCUUGGUCGCGGUGGGAAGGAGUUGGUUCCCCAGCGGCAAGACGACGGUGGCGGGCGCCGGGUGACGUGGGAGGUGGCGGCGUUGUUGAGCGGAUGUUGCAGUACUGGCAGCUGGCAGAGUCACGGGAAAAAAUGGACGGCGGCAUCGCCGACGAAGGGGGCGAGGGUUGCUGUUGGAUGAAGGGAGGCCAAUGUGCUACCGACCAGCGGGCCCGGGAGGAGGAGAAGGUGAGCGCGUGUGUCCGUCUCGUGUCCGCGCUGACGCAAAUCCGGCUCAAAAAUGGGUCGGGAAUGGGUCGCCCACGGACGAAAAGCGGACGCGCGUCCGUCUGGGUCGGCAUGUUGGGCCAACUUUUAUGUCCUCACCGACCCAAACAGAUGUCAGCGGACGAAAUUGAUCACCCCGUUGGAGUUACUCUUAGGUAGUCUUGUUUAUUGAGAAGUUAUAAAAAAGAUUUUAGUGAAACAUGUUUACGAGACCGAGAAAAGUUAUUCUCUAACAACUUCCCAUAAAACAACUUUUACACGAAGUUUUCAGGGGAGUUAUUGAAGUUGCUCUUAUUCGGUUUAGAAGAUCACACCCGUUAGAUUUUCUAUUCACAAUUUUUGGGUCAUUUAAUAGUAGGGGGGAACUUUAGCUGUGACCCAAAUCAAAGGCAGACAAGAGGGGACACAAUCAGGAGAGAGGUCCCAUCAAAAAGGACAAUCAUUUGCAUCCGAUUUUUCUUUUAAAUCUAAUUUAUGUCAAGGGAACAAUUAUAAUAAAGAGAGCAGACAAUGUGGGAAAAAAAUCCACUCACAACCACAAACACAACCUAUGAAACUCCAACUGCACGGUAGCUUACAUUUGAAGCCAAGCUUACUGUGCAACUGGGUGGCAUCCUGCAAAAGCUCUGUGGUAGUCAACGACGAGGGAGGUGUUGGACAAGCUUUUUUUCAGAAGGAAAACUUUCAAUGACUUAUCCAGAAAAAUACUAAAAUACCACAAGCUUGUUGGAGUACAUAAUAACAUCAUUUAGCACCAAAUCUAAAGAUACAUGUAGCAAUACCGGUUGGAACAUAACAGUGCAGCAUUGUACACAUCAAGAAUUCUGUUCUGCAGAUAUUGCGAGUAACUGGUCCAAAUGGAAAUAGAAACAAGAAUCCAUGUCUGGUGUCUGGCUUGUAAUUCUGAAUACACCAAUCUAAGAUAAAUCAUUCUGAAUGCUGUUUGGGACAAGGCUACGCUUUCAUCAAUGACUUUAGUUGGGAGGCAUACUACCUGACCCAUUUCUGAAUCUAGAGUAAUAUGUGGAGCUAGAGCCAGAGAAGCCCUGCGAUCUUACAGAAUCAUAACGAUCGUUACCGGGCCUCGGGUGCGACAUGGGAGGCCACACACGACCAGGAACAGAACCGCUAGGUGGCCUCAAGUGUUGUGAACCUGCAAUAACAUAGUCAGUCUCACGCCAUUUGCUAAACAUCCAAUGGUGCUAGUCAGGAGAAAUACCAUUAUUGUUGUUUCCAUGAUCUGUUAAGGGCCUGAAAUAUUCUGGCACAAAACUAGGAGGUCGAUGGGAAAUGAAGCCUUGACCUCUUGCACAAGGAGGAUGCCAAUGAAAGACACCUUGACAAUCUGGAGCAUGAGGAGGAUGUCGAGGAUGUAACCCUUGACCUGGUAGUCCAGGAGCAGGAUGCCGAGCAUGGAAGUUGUGACCUAGUAGUCCAGGAGGAGGAUAUGGACAAUAUGAGCCUUGCGCUGCCAGUACCAGAGGAGGACGCCGAAAAUAUAAGCCAUCAUCUACUGGUACAUGAGGAGGAUGAACAAGCAAUGAUCGUUGGUCUGAAAGAAGAGAAGGAUUAUGUCCAUGAUCAGCAACUAAGGAGGACAGUGAGAGAAUAAGACUUCCAUGUAUGUGGACUAAUAGAUAAUACAAGCUUACCAUAUAUCACUUCUUGUGCUUCCAUACGAGUGCCCCCAAUUUCUUGUAUUUUGUCAAUACUUAUCUCUCCGUUGCUUGUGUUUACCGGUGAUUUUCGGUCCCGUACAACAAAACCGAUUAAUGAGUCUUGGUUUGUAUCGACUGUUGACGCACCUUUCCAGAAACCAUAUUUUUGAAGGACUGUUAUUAUCUCCUUCUGCCCGGGACAUACAUAAAUACAUGUAUCAUCUUCUAUUUUUGCUAAACCGAUUCUUUUGUUCACUUUUAAUAUCUUUGCAACCUGCAUCAGUGUCAUAAAUAGCUUAAACAUAAUAUUCUGAAUGUCCAUACCUUCUAAAGACUGGAAAUGGAAAAUCAAGUGUCCACGUUACCUCCUUCACUCCCUCUAAGCCAUCUUUCGAAGACUCAACAUUCAAGCACAGAGAAAUUACCUAAUAGGAUAUUGAUUGCAAGUAAAAAUUAGUUCAGGUUUAUUUCUGUGAUGUAUCAUUAACUAAUAAAACUUAUGAUGAAAGAAACUGAUGCUACAAAACACAUAGUUAUCUUGGUAUGUCACAUACAAUUUCAAACUCAUUUCAGCACAAUAGUAAAUAAUCCUAAAAGAGGAGAAUGUCAAAUCAUAAGAACGAGGAUGAAUCAUAUAUAAUGUAAGAAAAUAAUCUUACCAUUAUCGACCGGUUUUGAGAGUGACGAAGAUCCUUGAGGAAUUUUUUAAAAUCCCCCCAUUUCACUCUUCCUUUGAUUUCUAUGGUUUUCGGCCAGACAAUAUCUUGAAUUUUUUCCCCACUGCAAAAAGAACACAUGGAAAUACUAUAAUAAGAAACAACAUGGUUCGAACAUCCACCACUAACAACAACUAAAUAUUUGUUUUUCAAUCUAAGAAACAAGUAUAUUCCCACUGUAUGAUUAUGGUGGAAACAAAUAAAUAUACUAUGUACAUCAGACUAUCAUUAAAUCUGGUCAACUCAAGACAUGUGUUGUCAUACAAAGACAAAUUACAUUUAUUCUAACUUGUAGAAAGCAAACAAGUAUAUAUCAAUUUAGUUAUGCUUCACACUUUCACUAAGAAAAUUAUACAAAUGUGAUCUUCUAUGUAGGCAAAGAUAUUGAUAGCAAGGUAAAUGUCUUGCCAAAUGAGGUCUUGCAUGUAGGCCCAAGUCAUGUGGUGUAGAGGUACUUCAUCUGAGAGUGCAGAACUCUGGUCUACUGAUGAAGUUCCUAUACAUAGUACACAUAUUCUUCAACAAGCAGAACAUCCCUUGGAUGAACUUCAUCUAGCAAGCUCAUUACUCUGACAUGUCUGCCCCCACAACACUUUGGCAGAUGUUGCUCCUUUUGGUGGAGAGAUUGUAUGUCUCCAUGGGACCAAUUUCAUUCUUUUGCUAAAUGUGACGUUGGGAGAGGUGAUACUGUUAGGUUUUGGUAGGACACAUGGUCUGAUCAUACUAUGCAAUCUAAAUCCCCCUAGUUGCAUUAUUUUACUAUUGAUGAUAUCACCAUUCAGAAGGCCUUAACCUAUGAAUCCAUAUAUGACAUGUUUCACCCUCCCCUGUCUUUUACGGCAUCCUCCCAAUGCAACAACCUUGUCAUUAUUCAUGCUCAAUUGAGCUACUUUGAUGAUGAUGGCUCCUGGAAACUCACUGUGGGAAGGGUCUUUUUUCCCAGCAACAAUGUUUACAAGACUACAAUCAAUCAGGAUCCUUAUCCCAUCCCUAUGUCCUGGAUAUGGAAGCCAUAUUGUGAAUGUAAACAUAGGCUCUUUUCUGACUCCUACUUGACAUGCUUUAUAACAGAGAUCUUCUGGGGAAGGACUGCAACACUCCUAUUUUUUGGAUGUGACUUGGCCAAAAGUUUUUGUGAAUGUUGAACCAGCUGGAGCGGAAUUUGGACAUGCAACUCAUGGAUAUGUCAGAAGAAAGUAAACGCAGGAGCCAAGACAAAUGCUUCUUUGAGAUGGUUAUUCUUGUAUGCUGGAGCUAAUGGAAUUCAUAUUUGAUGGUGACACACCUAACAUUCAUGAAUGUUUUAGGAUGGUCAAAGAAAAUUUUGCUAAUGAUACUUAUAGAGAAAAACCUAGCCUCCAAGAGGGAAUGCAGGAGUUCUUAGAUACUUUGUAAGGAAACUCUGGCUGCCCACCCUCCAUUGUACAUUUUCCCUCAAACAAUUUCUAGAAGCGCAGUAGCGUCUUCCCUACUAUUUUCCACUUAAAAAUGAUAUAAGGAAUAAUUGAGCAGGAAAAAUAUAAUAGACUUGAACAAAAGUCCGCAUAUACAUACGGAAAUAUAUAUACGCUAUCUGAUGACCAGUACCAAAAAUCACUAGCAAUAUGCAAACUCUUGUUACAUACAAAAGAUGGAAUCAUAUGUAGUGGAGAUGUUGCAAACAACGAAAUGUUUCAACCCCGAAAUAAUUAACAUGUUACCACUACCUUAUAUAAUUCAUACAAUAAUAUGACGAAAGGCUCAUUUUGUUGGAAUUUGACUUGUUUUGACCUCAUUGACCUCUCGCUAUCAAAUUCCUUUUGGAGAAUAUGCCCCAUUAGUACCAAUAGAAAAUGCAUGUUUUGUCCCUGUACUAUUAUGAAUGUGAUGCCUAGGGAACCAAGACCAUCUCACAUCCUACAAUUGAAGGCUUCAACACCUAUUAUGUAAGGAAAUGGAGAUUUGACUGGAUUGAGUAGUAAAACAGUUACAUAACUUAGAAGCACGGUGCAAACUUCUACCAAUCAACAUUCUAGUAAGGAUAUAUGUUGGGCUGAGUGUAUGUGUGGGGUGUGUGUAUGCAUGGGUUUGGCACAAAGGCCCACCCUUGUGUAUAUCUACUCAUGCUUGUAGCCUUGCAAGCUGUAGCUACUAGCUAGAGAGGAUCCAGGUUGUCAGUAAUUUGAUAACAGCCUAAAAUGGCUCUCCGCUCCGCUCCACCCUGCUCCCCGCUCCACCCCCGCGCCCCGCUAGCCUGACUGCUGCGCCGCGUCGCCAACGCCGCCUCCGUCCCUGCCGGCCGGACCUCCCCCGCGGCCCUCCCUCCUGCGACAUGACUCCAGUGGGGGCUGACCCUGUCGACCGCCGCGAGACCCUCUCCGGCGAGCGUGUUUCCUACGGGGACCGCUGGUCGAGUUCGGAGAGCGAGUCCUCGGCGCGCUCGUACAGAGACGUCGCCCGCACUCCGCCGGCCGCUGCUGCGCCGCCGGCCGCCCUCGCUUCCGGCCGCCUUGCGCCUGUAGUCCGUCCCCCCGCCAAGGAGCGCCUCGGACCCCGCUCGGAGGUUCAUCGCGUCUCGGGCGGCCCAGUGCUCGACGCCGACGGCUUCCAACAGGCUCGUCACAGAGAACGGCCCCGUCGCCCGCGUCGCGUUGCGCCGGCCGCGCCUUCACCUGCGCGCCGCCGCAGCCCCUCCCCUGAGGAGCUCGCGGGCCUCUGCUUCCGGCGCCUUGAUCACCGCCACUGCGUCAGGGACUGCCCCAACGACAUCCGCUGCCGCCACUGUCUCGCCUCUGGCCACGCUUCCCACGACUGCGAUGGUCGGCGGCCUGCGGCCGCGGCCGCGCCCCAGCGCUCCCAGCGCGCCGCCGGGGACCAGCAGCCCAGGCCUCCUCGCGGUGCCCCUGCCAGGGCGUCCCCCCCGACGACGCGCCUGCCCGCUCCGAUCCCCACCGCUGUAGCCCCUCCCCUGCAGCGGUCUCGCCAGCUCGAUGAUGCCCCCGCCCGCGUGUUCCUGGCCCAGACAGAAGAAAUGGACGAGGCGGAGCUGGUGCUCGGCCGCGCGAUGGUGGCCACCGUCACGGGCACUCGGCCAUCUGUGUCCCUGGUCGAGGUGUCCGAGCUCGUCAUGUCCUCUCUGGAACUGGAGGAGGGAGACUUCUCGGUCCAUCAGCAUCACCCGGAGGACUUCCUGAUUCUCUUCUCCUCCCUCGCAACCAUGAGAAGGUUCCGCGGCGAGCACUUCAUCAGCUCGUCGCGCUUUGCACUGUCCCUCCAGCCCUGGUGCAAGCUUGCCCACGCCGGCGCUGGCGAGCUCGAGUACCGCGUCGAGCUGGAGCUCUGCGGCAUCCCCGCCCACGCCUGGCUGCUCUCCACGACGGAGCACGUGCUGGGUGGCAGCUGCUGGAUCGAGCGCCUGCACACCCGUACGCGCUCCCGCGAGGACAUGGCCGUCUUCCGCGUCACCGGGCGCACCCACGACCCGGCUGACAUCCGGCGCGCCGCCACCCUGGAGAUCAUUGAGCAGUUGCCCGGCCGUGUCCCGUCGGAGGCGCCAGACAUCAGAACGCUCACCUUCCCCGUCUCCAUUGCUCUCACUAAGGCGGAGCUGAUCAGGGCUGCUCCGGCUAUCGCCCAGGACGCUGCGGGCAGCGCCGGAGACGGUGAGGACGGUGGCGCAGACGGCCGGCAUGGCCCCGGCAAUGGGCAUGGUCACGGUCCUGGUCCUGGGCUCGGGCGCGCUCGCCGGCGUGGUCGCAAACGUCGUCGUAUGGCGGAGGCACAGAACGGCUGGGCCGAUGGUAUGGCAGUGGACGCGCUCGCGCCGCUCGCGCACGCAUGUGGCCGCUCCGGCCGUUCAGACGGCGCCAGCGUGGUGGCUCCCUGGCCGUACCCGGCCGCGCCGCGGCAGGGGUUGUGCCCCAAGCGGGAUGUCAUGCUGACCUGGCCCGGUCAGCAGGGCCCAGCACGCUCUCGUCACGGCGUCAGGAAAGGGCACCAGCAGGCGCGCGUCGUGACGCCCAAAGCGCCUUUGUCGACGGGCCCCUCGCGCAAAGUGGCGAGCACAGGCGUGGAGGACGGUUUGGCCGUUCGCAUCGGGACAGCUGGCGCUCCCCCGUUCGCUGCUCAGGGCCACGAUGCGGCUGGGGCGUCGACGUCGUGCACGACCGAAGCAGAUACGGACGGAUCCACUUCUACAGCAGCUGAUCCUAUGCCCUGUCGGGAUCGGUGCCUGCUGCGUCUGGGGCCCGCCGAGCAGCGCGUGAGGUCACCGCCCGCACCCCGGUCGGGGCAAAUCGAGCCGAUCCCAUCCCUUGCCGCUGCUGCACCAACAAAGGCCCUCUUUGACCAACCCCCUCGGCUAAUUUCGCGCGCCUUUGAGGAGAGGGCGGGACGCGCAUCGCCCUCCCCCGCCAGCUCUGCUGACGCCGCCCCGUCCCUACCAGCCAGCUCUCUGGAGGCGGGGCCCGCGGCCGUCGUGACCACUAUCACCGCGCCAGCGCCCUUGGAUGCCGAUGGGACCGAGCCCUCUGGGCUGGAGGCUGCCGUCGCUGUUGCUGGAACCCUAGCCGAGGAUCCCCUGCCCGCUGGGGCCACGCCUGCUCCUGCAGAUGCGCACACGGCAGGAGAAAUGCCCACGCCCGAUGGCUCGCAUGUUCGGUCUGUGGUGCCCUUGGACGCGCAACAACAGCAGGGACCAGGCGUGGAUCCCCUCCGCGGCCGCGGCCACAUCUCCAUCCUGCCGAGGCCUACCUGCCAGCCGGACCCUGGGGCGUAUCCCAUCAGCAACCGGACGCAGCCUUCGAUGCCAGGACGCUUUGCAUUGCCGCCGCUUACUCUGCAGAGACGCCGACCCUGUGUAGCCACUGGACAGACAUGGACGCUGGGGGCCUUCCUGUCUGCAGCCACUAAGCAGCUUGAUGCGAUGCUGCCAUCUCCCGGGAUACGCCAGCGGCCCCCUCUCAACUUCGGUCCAAGGAGGGGACGUUCCGCCGCCGUCGUCGCUCCGGCACCCGCGGCCUGCACUACGGACAGAAGGGCGGUGGUGCAGAUUCUCCGCACCCUCGGGAUCGUUGGCGCGAAUCAGCAGAUCACCCCCGUCGAGAUGAAAGCAUAUGACGACAUGUUCGCCGCGCCGAUCAAGCUUCCGGCGCUGCAUGCCAUAGCCGCUCUCGUAGACCGUGCGAUCCCUGCAUGCCUAUCUAUGUCGGCUGGUGAUGCCAUGGCAUGCGCGCGCCUAGGCUGGUGGUGCCUGUAGUCGACCUCGUGCUUAUGUAUCCAGGACCCCAGAUAGUGGUUUGGAAUGUCAGGGGCUUGAACUCACGCGCUAGGCGCUGUGCUAUCCGCUCACUGAUAUGUACCACCAGUGCGUCCAUUGUAUGCCUUCAGGAAACUAAAAUGGCGUUGGUCUGCUCGUCGAUUGUGCUAGACACCCUUGGGUCCGAGUUUGAUGGCUCUACUUAUCUCCCUGCCGACGGCACCCGCGGCGGUAUUCUCAUCGCUUGGAAGAGUAGGGCUGGCACCAUCUCCGACCCCCUAUUCACCCAAAAUGCGAUCACGGUUAAAGUGUGCGCGCCUAGUGGUGCACCGUGGUGGCUUACCACGAUGUAUGGCCCCCAAAGCGACCCCGACAAGAUACUGUUCCUGCAAGAGCCGCGGGACAUCCGGGCUGCUUGCCCGGGCCCUUGGAUGCUAUGCGGCGAUUUCAACCUCAUCUACCGUGACGCGGACAAGAGCUCCGGUACCCUGAAUCGCCGCAUGAUGGGAAGGUUCCGCCGCGCCAUCAACGAUCUUGCCCUGAAGGAGGUAUACCUGAAUGGGCGCCACUUCACAUGGUCUAAUGAGCAGACCCCGCCGACGCUUGUGCACCUCGAUCGUGUACUCUGCACCACGGACUGGGAGGAUUACCACGGAGAGUGCCACCUCAGAUGCCUUGCAUCUGUCGUGUCUGAUCAUUGCCCCCUGCUGUUGGACUGCUCCCCCAUGCCCACGGCCCACAGACGCUUCCGCUUCGAGUCUUUCUGGCCCAGCCGUGAUGGAUUUCACGACACGGUCGCCACAGCCUGGAGCUCUGUGCAUGACCCCGACCCCUUCCAGCGGCUGGUUCGGCGUCUGCAGGCCACCGCCCGCGCCCUUACGAGUUGGAGUGCUAGGUCCACGGGCAAUGUCCGGGACAAAUUGGCCAUAUGCCGAGAGCUGAUCGCCCGCUUCGACCACGCGAUGGAGAGUCGCCUUCUCUCUCCGGCAGAGGACUGGCUGCGUAAGCAGCUCAAGGUGGCGUACCUUGGGCUGGCUUCUCUGGAGCGCACCAUCGCGCGGCAGCGCGCCCGCAUCUCCUUCCUGGCCGAGGGUGACGCCAACACGAGCUUCUUCCACAAGCAGUGCACGUUCAGGCGUCAGAAAAACCGCGUGCAGAGCCUCCUAGUUGACGGGCAUGUGCUAUGUGAGCAUGAGGAGAUGGCCCAAGCGGCAUUCGCGCACUUCAACGGGCUGCUGGGCACCGCCGUGGACCGAGAGCGCACUCUGGAUCUCGAGCAGCUCGUCACGGCCGAUGACCUUGGCAGCCUGGAUGCGCCCUUCACCCCUGAGGAGAUUUGGGCUGCGGUGCAGCACAUGCCGACGCACAAGGCACCAGGGCCAGACGGGUUCUCUGCAGAGUUCUUGCGGGCCUGUUGGGGCGUUAUCAGGCAGGAUAUCCUGAAUGUCUUCGAGCAGUUAUUCCUGCUUCGUGGGAGAGGGUUUGCUAAGCUCAACCAAGCCCUCUUGACCCUGCUGCCUAAGCGCGCGGAUGCACAAAAGCUGGGCGACUACCGUUGCCUGAUCCACAUCAUGGCCAAGCUAUUCGCGGAAGUUCUGUCGUUGCGCAUCGCCCCCAAGUUGUACAGCCUAGUCAGCCGCAACCAGAACGCAUUCAUUGCCGGACGCUCCCUCCACGACAACUUCAUGCUCGUUCGGCAGUCUCUCCGGAUGCUUCACCACUUGGGCGCCCCGUGCAUCAUGCUCAAGCUCGAUCUCACGCGGGCUUUCGACUCCAUAUCUUGGCCGUUCCUCUUCGAGAUGUUGCGCCAAUAUGGGUUUGGGGACAGGUUCAGGGAGUGGAUAGCCAUCCUCCUCUCCUCGGCCAGCACGCGGGUCAUGCUCAAUGGCGUGCCUGGCCCCCCGAUUUGGCACUGUCGCGGGCUGCGUCAAGGGGACUCCACAUCACCGCAGCUAUUCGUCCUCGCUGUCGACGCGCUGGGCCGCCUCAUGCAUCGGGCGCUCUAGGCCGGCUGCACCCCGACGUACUGUUCCGGCCGUCUCACUAUACGCCGAUGACAUGAUGCUGUUUUGCCAUGCUGAGAUGGAUGAGGUGCUCGCGGUGAAGGGCAUCCUAGGUAUUUUCGAGGCCGCGUCGGGCUUGCAGGUCAACUAUGGCAAGAGCUCGGCCACGACCCUACACGGCGACGAGGAGAGCGCUGCCCUGCUGGAGGCGUUGGGCUGCCAGGCGGCGAACUUGCCCAUCACCUACCUGGGCAUACCGCUCACCACCAGACGACCCACAACAGCUCAGAUGCAGCCACUAGUCGAUGUUGUGGCUGGCCGCCUCCCGACAUGGAAAGCAUGGCUCAUGAACAAAGCUGGGAUGUUGGCAUUGGUCAAAUCGGUCCUCAGCGCGAUCCCAAUCCACCAGAUGCUCGCCCUGGCACCCCCGAAGAAGGCCCUGAAGCAACUAGAGAAGAUCCAGCGCGGCUUCCUCUGGGCUGGCCGUGCGGCUGCUCAGGGAGGACACUGUCACGUUAAUUGGCGCGCGGUCAGUCGGCCUCUCGCACCAGGAGGGCUGGGCAUCCGAGAUUUGGAGCGCACUGGGCUAGCACUUCGGCUGCGGUGGCUCUGGCUAUCUAGGACGGACGCCGACAGGGCCUGGAAAGGCCUGGACCUGCAGUUCUCCAGUGAGGAGCUCGGCCUCUUCUAUGCCUCCACCUUCAUGGUGCUAGGUAAUGGCCGCACGACGCUGUUCUGGGAAGACCGAUGGCUGCAUGGGCAGUCGAUUCGCGAGCUAGCACCCCUGCUGUACCUAUGCAUUCCCAAGAACAGGAGAAGGGUGCGGACGGUGGCGGAUGGCCUCGCCGGCAACGCGUGGGCCCGAGACAUCCGCGGUGUCGUGGGGCUGCAAGAGAUUGGCCAAUACCUGACGACAUGGCAGCGCGUCACGCACACCGCCCUGUCCGCCGAGCCAGACAGGCUUGUCUGGAAAUGGACUGCUAAUGGAGAAUACUCGGCACGAUCAUGCUAUCAGGCCACCUUCCACGGAUCCCUCGCUUGCCAUUCCUGGAAGUUAAUCUGGAAGGGAUGGGCUCCGCCGAAGGUCAAGUUCUUCCACUGGCUUGUGAACCUAGACCGAUGCUGGACGGCGGACAGACUAGCCCAUCGCGGCCUCCCUCAUCACGCCCGAUGCCUACUUUGCGACCAAGAGCCAGAGACCAUUCACCACCUGCUACUGGCAUGUCCCUUCGCGCGGCAAGCCUGGCACGAGGCUCUUUCCUGGCUGCGCUUACCAGCCCCCACACCGGAGCAGGAUAUCUCCAUUCAGGAUGGUGGAUUAGGGCGAGAGAUGCAACACCACCAUCACUCCGCAAGGCGCUGAGGUCCACCACACUGCUAGUUCCAUGGAUGAUCUAGAAACAUAGGAAUGCGUGUGUAUUUGAUCAUGCCACUCCGUCGCUCUCCGAGCUCGCGGAUGGGAUCAAAGAUGAGAUGAGAUGUUGGGCUAGAGCUAGGGACAAGGGGCUUAGGGUAGUCUUGCCCCCAUCCUGGGAUGUCCAUUGAGUUGCUUGUAAUCUGUUGUAACCGUCUCCUCUGAGACUGACUUUCCCUCUUUUCAAUACAAAGAAACGCACAUCUCUGCGUUUUCUCGAAAAAAAACUAGCUAGAGAGCAAGAGAGUGUUCCAGAUUUUUCCCCGAGAGACAACAUGGUAUCAGACCCAGGUUAUGGCUGAAGCUAUCGCUGGAGGCGAGAGGAAAGGUGGUGCUCUUACCUGUGGGUGAGGAGUUCUGGCGCUAGUGGAGCCUCCUGGAGUGAGGAGCAAAUCGAACGGGAGAAGCUGCAACAGAGCCAUGGCCUGUAGCACAGAGGAACUGGUCUGGAGCAAGGAGAAGAGAAGCCCUGCUGGUGGUGGACUAGAAAGGAGAGAAGAGGUGCCUGCAGCCAGAAGCGUGGGGCAACACAGUAGGUCGGCAAUGAAGCUUGUGGUGCGCAAUCUGGGACUGGGGCCCCUCCUUGUGGCUCGUGCAGGAACUGCAGGACGUGGGUGCUGGGGGCAGCAAGCAGGAGGCAGACGUGUGGCUGCUCGAAAUCAGAAGCUUCAGCCGAGACGGCGUCCGGCAUCGCGUGCAAGUAGAAGGAUCUGCAGGCCUAAGGUGCUGGUCCGUCGUGGUGAUAGGAGAGCUGGGUGAAGUCGUACGCCUACUAUCACCUGGACGUAGCGGUGCUGGUGCAGUGAUUACUGUAGCAAGAAGCAGAGAAGAGGUUUGCUUGAAUCUGUUUGUGGGUUACUGCUGCUGUCUUAGAGUGGAGAGAAGGAGCUGUUUUUCCACUGGUUGCUGCAAGAAGGCAAAGGAGAACUUCUAGUAGGAGGUGUGGCUAGUGUUUGUGACAGGGAGUAGUGUGGUGGAUUUAUGGCAUUGGUGUGCUAGCUGCACUAACCUGGUUGUUAAUUGUUGUUGCUCAAGUAAACUGCAAGAGAAGAUCCAAUAGAGCAGAAGAGAAGAGGCUCUUGGUGCUUUCCAGCGACAUUUGUUUGAGGAGAAAAAUAUGGCCAAUCUAAUACAAAAGGAUCAAGUAAGAUGCUUAAAACCUCAGUGGAGGAGUUAGAGAAAUUGAGACGGUCAAAGAGGACGGAAGAAAUUCCGAACCAAAGUGGAAAAACAACAGCUCUAGGAAAUCUUGCUCAUAUUGACAAAGGUACCACAAAUAAAACUUCUUGUUCAAACUGGAUACCAGACUCAGGAGCAUUAGCACAUGUCACAUGAAGGUGGAGUGAAUUUGAAUCAUAUGCUCCACAUCCGCCUAUGUAUAAAAAAUUUAUUCGAGCCAUUGAUGGAACUUAUCAUCGUAUCAAACGGGUCAGCCAUUGAUAUACACUUCGUCUAUCACAUUGUCUUCGGUCUUAUAUGUUCCAUCAUUUCCGGUAGUUUGGUGUCUAUGAGCUCCUUGGUCGAUGCCAGUUUGAACAACAGCAGAUUUCAAUGCCUAUUGAAGUGGACUCAUCAAAGAGUGAUCCAUGUAUCAUAGGUGAUUCAAUGAAUUUGCCUAUUGCCUCGAGGAAAGAACCACACGCUAAAGCAGGAAAGACUCCUGAAAGGUACAAUUUUGAGCAUGAUAUUGCAAACUAUGUGGCAUAUGACUCACUGUCACCAGGGUAUAGAGCCUUCAUUGUUUCGUUACAAUCUGUUGUGAUUCCAAGGGAUUGGAAAGCACCAAUACAAGAUCCAAAGUGGUAUGAGGCCACGAUGGAAGUAAUGAAAGCUCCAUGAUAUUUAAGCUACUAUUGUAACGGAUUGAAAGACGUUUUAGCUACUAUUGUAACAUUUUUUUGCUCCAUGCUCCAUGAUAUUUAAGCUACUAUUGUAACAAAUUGAAAGAUGUUUUAGCAAAACACCAAUUUGGUAAGUGCAAAACAACAAUCAUUUUUACAUGUAUAGGGUUGUCUGUUAUUAAAAUAAAAUCUGAUACUUGUCUAAAGACAGAAAAUGAGACAUCAUACUAAAUCAUUUGAAAGCAUAAACAUGGUACUUAUUUACCUUAUAAAAAAGGCGAGCACAAACACCGUGAAUCUCUGAAGUUGGAUCACACCAUCCCAUAGACUUGUACGGGCCGAAGGAGAUAUGCGACCAAUGACUGGCUUCAUAUCAUUAUCUGAAAAAUGAUUGCAUUAGAAAUAUUAUGUUUUGUUUUACAUUCUUGUAGAUCAUGUUAUAGUACCUAAUAAAGGUUGCACCAUGUUUAUAUUUCACUUUGUCACUAGGAAUCACCUAUAGGUAAUAUAUAGCUAUAUUACUUUAAUCAACCUUUUGAUAAGCCAAAGGUGCCUCUGUCUAGCUCGGACAUCUCGCAUGUCUCUUUGGUACAACCAUUGUUACAUCCUAUUUAGCUUCAAAUUAUUUGGAGGUUGGUACAGACUCAAAUAUGUAUAGCAAUGCAUGGUCUAUGCACUUCAUCUUAAUUUAGGAGCCGAUUAACUUUGAUCCGACCAUUGCAUCAUGUGGUUACCUUCAAAGUAGAAGGAAAAUGGUUUCAAUUCUCAAGUUUUUAACCUACCAAUCUUGUGAGGUUAAACUAUAGAGUAUUAAAAGAAUAAAAAAGAGAAUUGAGUUUAUAAUCAAGAGUCACCUAGAUGACAUUCCUUGACCCUCACAACAAAGAAGUGCGAAAAGGAGUUUCAAUUCUAAAGUUUGUAACCAACCAAUCUUCUGAGGCCAAAAUUUUGAGCAAUUCAUGGAAGAAAUAAGCGUGAGAUUUUUAAUCAAGAUUAACCUAGAUGAAAUACCUUGGAUGUGACAACAAAGAAAGUCAUCAUAAACAACAGUAUUAUGGCCACUGCUAAAUAAGCUCCAGAAUUUUAUUUAUUCUUAAUGUAUAAUCUGGAAGGUACUAUUUGGCCAAGUUUUUCAUCCUUUACACAAGUGUAUGAAUGUAUGAUAACAUGUUCUUACUUGCAUCUCUUGUUUCGCUACAAGAUAUGUUACUGGCAGUGUGUUUAAAAUCUCAAGCCUGUUUGAUAACUGGCUUAGUUGGUUAGAUUUUUUGUGGUGAAGCCAGUCCAUCCGGGUUUCAAGUCCUAGACUUUGCACUGGUGCCCACAUUUUCCUGGAUUUAUUCCAGGCUUUUUGGUGCUUUCUUUCAGCAGAAUGGCAAGCUCGUCAACUACGAGGUGCAUUUGACGACUUCGACAAUCUAAAGAUCUAACGGCUCAGUCUCUCAGAGGUGCUCAGAGAGAUAGGUGUGCAUGCUUGCAUUUAUAGGGGUAUUGUGGGUGUGUUUUUUUGAGCGCCUUAGUUUGUACUGUGUUUGUCAAAAAAAAUCUUAAUCCUAUUUUGCAUUGGAUCUAUUCGCUUCUAUUACACAUGCGCAUGUUAUGGACUUAUGGUAGCAUUUUAUUUAGAAACAUGACAUGCCCUAUUAUUUGUCUUGGAUAACAACUAGCCUUGAAAAACUGGUUAAGUUAUUUACGAACAUGUUGAUUCUCAAUAACAUACUCUAAUUGUGAAAUCUACUACCAAAUAUGCAUUCUGGUUUGUUGUUUGAGCAUUUGUCGAAGCUUCCUCUUGCAAGCAAUGAUUUUUUUUAUACUCCAUAAGUUUACCUACAUAGUACCUUAAUUGCUCAUCAUUAGUGGGAGAAUUGAUUUUUACCCCCCCCCCCAGCUCGCGCCCCUUGGAUCUUAUGCCUCUCUCUUCGCUUGCCUUCCUCUGAAUCCCCCCAGUUCUGCCUAACCCUUGCUGAUACCCCCCUUUGGCAUGGUUAACAAGUAUGUUAGUACAUAACUAUCAAUAGAAACAGGAAAAGACAAAAGUGCCCUUCAGUUUGAAAGGCACAACUUUGUACAAAAUAUUUUGCAACAAUCAAUUGCCUUUUACACAAACAGACUGGGAAUAAUAGUCUCACAUCCAUUCAAUGAUAGCAUAGAUAAUAAGUUCAACCAUGUUCUACAAGACUUCAUGACAACAAAAUAAGUGAGUCUCUACCUCACAUACAUAGGUUAGGUUUGUCACACUGGAUUGAUUAGAAUCAUGCAUUGACGUUGCAUCGAUCCUAUUCAAUGUAGACAGAAAAAUCAGAAAUUUGACACACCAAAUCUCAUGCAUACAUCAAUUAGAACAGGGGAAUAUGAUGUUACCUUUUCAGAUCCAUCACACCCCUUCCUCAAUCCAGCCCCUCCCACUCAAAUCCCCUUGUGAAUCCCACACAACACCUAGGGUUGAACGAUUCAGAAACUAUACCAGAGGAAGAACCCAAAAUCUGUGAAAAAUAGAAGGGGGGAGAGGCUACCUUACCUUGGGCCAGCAAUGGAAGGCGGAGGAUGGGGGGAAACGCAGUGGAGCAGGACGACGGACGGCGGGCGGAGCGGCUCUCGCGACUGGCGGCUAGGUCAGGUCGGGGGCAGAAUGAGGAACGGGCCAGGCCUCUGUCUCAUGCGGGAAGGAAGGAAAAGUGGAUGAGGGCAGAUUUGGCAAUUCCAAAUUUGUUAAAUCCCGAUUCUUUCCUUACCAGCCAAAACAGGAGAUAACAGCGAGGGGGUGGGGGUGGGGGGCAACAGAGGGAAAAUUAGGCCGCGUCGGGGGGUUUAGAGGAAGGCAAGCGAAGAGGGGGGCAUAAUACCCAAGGCGAGUUUGGGGAAGGGGGGUGUUAAAAUCAAUUCUCCCCAUUUUGAAAAAGGACCAUGAUCCCAAUAAUGAAAUUUCAUCUGUUGUUAAUCCUGCUAAAUCACAUGCAUAUGCUGAAACAACAUAUAGGUGCGUAGGUGGCCUUGAUAAUAAAUGAUGAGCAAUUAUGGUACUAUGUGUGUGCUAAGUGUAAGAACAUAUUUGAGCCCUACAAGUGAUGGUUGAUGCCCCCCCCCCCCCCCGCGCCGCCCCAAAGUUAAACAAGCUUGUCAGGUGGGUUGCUGGAAGUUUGUUUAUGUUUUCUAUAGUGUUCUUUGGGACAAGAUACACUAUUAAGAUGGGACGUUGAAGGCAAAAGAGAGGUGCUUAUUGCUCAAUCACAUUGUGGUGUCGCCCCAAAGUCAAAACCAAAUCCACGUGUUGAAGGUCAACUAGAUCGGGGAAGAUUGGAGUCUCUAGGGCCGCUAGCUCUCAAUCUCCGAAUGUGGAACUCGGCUAGGGUGCCCCCUUUGGUUAUUGCUAUUACUUGCUCUUAGAUUUGCGUAGUGGUGUUGUUGUUGUGGCAACAUCAAGUGUUUAGGCGGUAUCUCAUAUCUCAUCGCUAGUACUUAGAACAACGUUAAUGGGUGUGUGUCAUAGGCUUAUAGUGAAGGUUGUACACCGACUAGGUUCGCAAGCCUAGCAUAUCUCGUAGCAAAACAUGGGGUGCAAGUAAGAACAUGCUAUGAUGUCAAAUUUUCUCAUAGAUAUAAGAAAUUGGGUAUCAUAUAUCAAAAUCAAUAAACAGAAAAUCACAUUUCAGUAACAUGAAUUUAAUUGUGAAGGAACCCUAAAGGAUGAAAAUAUGGAAAGAAAUAUGUAUCUAAAUUUGGAAAAUCAUCACAAAUAAAAGGCUGAAAUUGUAGAUAUAAAAUGAGAUCAGAAAAGAAAGACUAUUUAGAAGCCAUUAACAAAAAUAAGAACAAAAACAUGAUGGCAAUUGGGCGUAGGAGUUGAAAGGAGUACCAUUGCCCAUGAUGUCGAAGCAGAAGUUACUAGACCGCUAACCAAUGAGAAGGACCUGUGAUGCAAACAACUGAAGUUGAGUUUAAGAGUAGGAAAAAUUCGAGGUUUAUGUGUUUCAGUUUCCAAAAUGAAGAUGCAUUAACCCAUCAACAUAGGAAUUUUUGCAUCCCAAGUCUAAAAGAGAACAUAUGCCCAACAAGGUUUCUAACUGGAAUUUAUUGAACUUUCCCUAUGACAGUGCAUAAACAAUCAAUUUAUUCAAUCAAGGCUCACAACAUCCUAGUUCAGGAAAUAUAUUCCAAAUGUGCAAAUUUACAAUACAACAAAAAGGUACAAUAUAAGCAGGAAGAAUGGCAUAAAUUAUUCAAUUGUAUAUAAGCAGGAAGCAUCAUUGCAUGAUUUGCAUCAAUGGCAAUAUGGCAUGAACAUGGUUGACAUCAGUUGUAUGGUUGACAUGAACAUGUUUGACAUCAAUAGAAACAUAAGCAGGAGCAUUGUAUGCAUCAAUUAUUCAUCUUCAUAUUCCCGGAAUUGCCAAGAAAAAUUGCAGGAAGAUCAAUUGUACCUUGCUAACUUGCUGUGGCAGGUCAACGGUGCCUGUCUAGUGUCGCGACGAAGGGAGCGAUGGUGCGGACUGAGGACGCCCAGCAGAUUGGAGGUGAGCCGAUGAGGGGAGGGGGGCGUGUGGCCGGCAGGCACCGUGAUGAGAGCGGGCUAGCUGGUGUCGGCGUCUCGGCAACGGCCGACGGGGCACAAGACAAAGGAGUGGGGGCCAGGCGGCGAGGGGUUAGUGGGCCAAAGGGGAGCGUGCGGCCUACCAGCGACGUCUGGAACCGAAGCGACCGAGCGGGGUAGUGGGCGAUGUCCAAGGGAGGGGAGGGGAGGGGAGCAGCGAUGGUCAAGGGAGGGGAGGGGAGCGGCGCUGGCUGCGUGCUGGGAGAUGACACAGUCGCGGCGUUAGGUCUCGCGUACCUCUCUGUCGAUAGGAGAGCAAGUGCUGAGAGCGGGUUGCUACCUUGCUGGGCUUAGCUCGAUGGGAUGCUGAAUUUGGGCCUCAAAAUAUGCAAAAUAUCACAUGAUAAAAGAAAAUUUCUUAGAAUUCUGGGUGUGCAACGGCCCACCUGUGCUUACCACUAGUACCAGUGCUAGGGCUUGAAUGUAAUACUGAUCUUUCCAUCAUAGAGAUGUUGAUAGAUGGAUAUAACAGGAAGAGAAUAACAUGUUUAAAGGAAAUGCUCAUCACGGAAGUUACUUUCUUGUUUCAAGCAGGGUCAAGGUUUUGGCUACCGAAUCCCAGAAAAUUACCAAGGGGCGGCGAGAAAUGCGGUAACCGUGGAUACCGAAAAAUACCGAGCAAAUACCGUUCUUUUCAAACAAAAUUUAAAUUUAAAAAAAUCUGUACUGCUACAGAUUGGAAAUAAGCUUAGGUAUUUCAGAAGUUAGAUGCUAGCGCAGUAGCAAGGGCACCAUCCUGCUUACCUGAAUUUUAGCGUUCGAUUCCCCGCUUGGCCUCGUUUUUUUAUAAUGUAUUGUGUACUGUAAUGUAUCCUCAAAAUUUGGCACAAAAGAAGUGCACCAAUGAUAGUCAAGCACAGGACCUAGAUAAGAAGGCAUAGGAGGGGCAUACGAAACAUUGGGUUAUCAAUACUUAACUGUUCUAUCAGAGUUUCCAUCUUACUUGACUUCACUUUUGCCCUUCAAAUUCAAAAUUUUCAAAAAAAAACAAAUUGUUUUGUUCGGUACAGGCUUUUCUCGUAGGGUAGGAUACCGGGCAGUAUCCGAUUUUCCACCCGGUACCCAAGACCAUGCGCAGGAUGCCCUUCCAAAAAAAAAUCUGCAUGGCAUAAUAAACAGAUUUCCUUGGUUUGCAUAAGUAUAAACUUACUGGCAAAAAAUGAAUGUUAACUAAGAUAUUAGUAAAAUAUAUGGAAAGAUAGGUGAAAUAAACAUUUACAACACCACCAUCUUGCCAAAAAUAUAUUUUGGGUUGAAUAAAAAAAUACUGAGAGCAAUAAACAUAAUUACACCCAUAAACACCCAAAAUAAGAAAUAAUAAAUGAAAGAGUUCCGUUAAAAUCAAAUAAGAUGUGACAGCACUAGAGUAUAUGUGUGCUCUAGUCAAAUUUAGUUGUGGAUUUCAGAUGAUUAUAUGUUUGGAUUCAUACUAGUUUUGAAACCUGCCAAAGCAUGCUGGUUGAAUUUAUAAUGUAGAAGAACUAAAAUUAAGGAAUAAAGAAAAGCAUAAAUAGCUGACCUGAGCUGCUUUAAGACUCCAGGCACUGGAGAAGAAACAGUAAGUGGGCGGUUAAGAAUUGUUAACGUAAGAAGUUUGCUCGAGCUCUUCAAUGCCCAUGUCAGACCAUAAGAACCUGCAAGAAAUCCCUACAUAUAAGGAAAUGGAUGAAGUGAUUCAGACAGUCCAUAUGAUAACUUUCAUAGCAAGGAUUCUCCAAAAACUUCCAAGGAUGUACCUGGACAACUAAGAAAAUGGUUCAGUGAUAUUUAGAGUACAAGAAGUUCAUCAAAUGCCUUGUGGAAGUCCUCUUCUACAAAUGGUACAACAUACAUAUGCCUUUUUUUUGUGAGCGAUACAUGUAUCUUUGGUUAACUCCAUUUUUAUAGACACAUUUGUACCGGAAAUUUAAUAGACAUUUCCUGACCUUUAAAUCGAACCCAUAUCCAGUCUAUCAUCUCACGUGGAUCAGGAGAACCUACAAUUGUACUGUGAAUUGUAUGAAAACUAACAAUCACGAGGAUUGUGUUUACAGAACAUGGAGUAAGCAUUCUGAUGAUUCUUAAAUAGUGAAGGGCGUGACACAGCUGACAAAGAUUUACAAACUAAAACAUCAGUUUUAUAGCAGCAUCGUGAAAGCAUGCAGGAACACGUUUGUUUUCGCGCUUCAUUGCCGAAAGUGAGGGUUACUACAUCAUACAUAAAUUGCAUUAGAAAAAAGAAGAUCAACAGUUUCAAGUUUCAGCUCCACAAAGGUCCAUCGCAAUCGAUCAUGUUCAUAAAUAUGAACUGUGGUUUCAUUCUUCCAAGCCAAUUGGCUUUCACAAUUUCACACGUGCAGCACUACCCCCUCCAGAUACAAAUGUUACCCUAGGAAAUUCAUCUCCGCCUCACAAAGAUGAGCAAGCAAAUUAUCUGUUUCCUACUAAAAAAAAAGCAAAUUACCUGUUUCCCUCACGAACCAUCCCAGUUGUCCUCUCGUCUCCCCUGUCGUCUACACGCAACAAGGCACGUCAGUCAUCAGCUGCUAAAACGCACAAUAGGAAGGUUCGGACAAGAGGAAGUGGAGGUCGGCAUUACGUAGAGCAUCUGGGCGGCAUUGCCGUCCUGAGCGGGCGACUCCACGGCAGCUGCAUGGCGCUGCGUCACGAACCAGAAGGGUUGAACGCCGGAUCUCCCUCCUUCUCCCCCGCCUCCGCCGUCUCGUGCUCGCCGCGGCUAUCGCGCGCGCCCCUCCGUCGCACGAGGAGGAGAAGGCGACCCUAAUGCAUCUCGGAGUAGCGGGGACGGAACUGGGAGGGGGCAGGAGGGAGAGUGGAGAGGAGGAGGUGGAGGUGGAGGCGGAGCAGGGGCAGCCGGACAUGGCGGCGGCGGCGGCUGCUCUCUGGAUCGGUGGGGGUACCAGCGGCGCCGCUACCCCCUAGCCACGGGAGCGAAGAUUCACGGUUCGGCUCA